rnacentral:lncRNA from 1 species
AAAAAGUUGUUUAGACUCGCUAAGGCUAGGGAGAGGAAGGGUCGUGACCUCGAUCAGGUGAGUGCAUUAAGGGGGAGGACGGUAGUGUGUUGGUGGAGGACGGCCUCAUUAAGAAUAGAUGGCAGUCGUACUUUCAUAGGCUCUUGAAUGACGGAGGGGAUAGAGCUAUUGUGUUAGGGGAACUGGAGCACUCAGAGGAGUGUCGGGAUUUUAGCUAUUGUAGACGUUUUAAGGUAGAAGAGGUUAGACAGGUUGUUCGCAGGAUGCGAAGGGGUAGGGCGACGGGGCCGGAUGAGAUACCGGUGGAGUUUUGGAAGUUCGUUGGAGAGGCUGGUAUAAGGUGGUUGACUGGAUUGUUUAAUGAAAUCUUCAAGACGGCAAAGAUGCCCGAGGCUUGGAGGUGGAGUACCAUGAUCCCUCUCUAUAAGAAUAAGGGUGACAUACAGAGUUGCAAUAACUAUAGGGGGAUUAAGUUAUUGAGUCACUCUAUGAAAAUCUGGGAGAGAGUGGUCGAGGUGAGGCUGAGACGGAUAGUGUCUAUUUCAGAAAACCAGUUUGGAUUUAUGCCUGGCCGCUCGACGACGGAGGCAAUUCACCUGGUACGGAGGUUGGUGGAACAGUAUAGGGAGAGGAAGAAGGACCUGCACAUGGUGUUUAUCGACCUGGAGAAGGCCUACGACAAAGUCCCUAGGGAGGUGCUUUGGAGAUGCUUGGAGGUGAGGGGAGUACCGCUGGCAUACAUCAGAGCAAUCAAGGAUAUGUAUGAUGGAGCGAAAACUAAGGUGAGGACGGCGGGAGGAGACUCAGAACAUUUCACGGUCCGGACAGGGUUGCAUCAGGGAUCUACUCUUAGUCCCUUUUUGUUUGCAGUGGUAAUGGAUGUGUUGACGCGGCGUAUUCAAGGGGAGGUGCCGUGGUGUAUGCUUUUUGCAGACGAUGUAGUUCUGAUAGCUGAGACCCGAGAGGGUGUGAGCGACAAAUUAGAGGUGUGGAGGCAAACCCUUGAGUAUAAAGGGUUCAGGGUGAGCAGAAGCAAGACAGAGUAUGUGGAAUGCAAGUUUAAUGACAUGAGGAGGGAGAACGAGGUAGUAGUGAAGCUGGAAUCACAGGAGGUAGGUAAGAGGGAGAGUUUCAAGUAUCUCGGGUCCGUGAUCCAGAGUAACGGUGAGAUUGAUGAGGAUGUCUCGCACCGUAUUGGGGCGGGAUGGAUGAAGUGGAAGCUCGCGUCAGGGGUGCUGUGUGAUAAGAAGGUGCCGCCUAAGCUUAAAGGCAAAUUCUACAGGGCGGUAGUCCGUCCGGCCAUGUUGACUUGGAGGAGGUUUUAUGUCCGUUAUGAUUCCGUGUUUCAUGUUGUAUUACGAAUCUGUGUGCUUUUCUCUGUUUUAUAUUACUUAUGGGUGCCGUAUUUAUGUUAUGUAAUCUUGUGCUGUGCUUGACUAUGUGUUUGUGUGGUAUCUCGUGCCUUGAGCCGGGGGUCUAUCGGAAAUAGCCUUUCUACUUCUUUAGAGGUAGAGGUAUGGACUGCGUACAUCUUACCCCCCCAGACCCCACUAGGUGGGAAUAUACUGGGUUUGUUGUUGUUGUUGUUUCUUAGCAAGCAUGUCUGUCAAUGGAGUUCUUUUAAAUGUUGACCAGUUUUGCUUUAGACUUUUUGAUUUUUUCUCUCUUUUCUUUAUUUCCUUUUUCUUGAACUUGUAUUGUGAAAUAUAUUGAACAAUUGUUUUUUUAAUGGUUAAUCGAAUAUGUACAAUUAGAAAUGAAUCUUCUCCAGUUUUACCAGCUAAUAGCGUAAGACCUUAUUUUGAUACUGGCAGUUUGCAUGUUGGCCUUGACUCACUGUCAGUUAAGUUCCAUCGAAAUGGUAAGUUGUACUUGGGAACAAAACAUGCUAGCCAUAGAAGGAAUGCAAUCACUUUGAUGUCUACUUUGCUAAAAUGGCUCUAGAUGAGCAUGACCCUUCACUACCACUGUCUAAUUUUUAUUAUUGUUAUUAUUCUUUGGUUUUUCCGAUAACCGAGAAAUCCUCGAGGGCUAGUGGCACAGAGUGCAAAACUCAGUGAAUAAAUGUGCUUUCCCCUUUUUUGUCUUUAUAUAUUUAUCUGAGAACUGACCUGAUCGAAAUGACCUAAUCAACCAUAUUCGUUGUAUUGGAGUAUGAUACUUUGACUUAAAGGAGUAUUACUGAAGAGGAGAGCUAUAUUUUUUUCCAGAAACUAUUGAGGUAUAAGCCCAAUAAUGAAGCAGUGGGAUAGAUGUAUUCCUGGUUCCUACAGACUUAUACAAUAGGACAACAACAACAACAACAUACCUAGUGUAUUCCCAUCAAGUAGGGGUCUGGGAAAGGUAAAAUGUACGCUGUCCAUCCCACUACCUCAGAUGAAGUAGAGAGGUUGUUUCCGAUAGACCCCCGGCUCAGGACAGAUAACAAUAUAACAAACAAACCACAUAAAAGCAUACAUCCAUACGACAAUACUAUAAUAACAGAUAGAAAAGGAUAAUAACUAAAACAAGACACGCAUAAGAUGAUACUAAAAAUAUCUAUUCGAAAAACAUAGGUAUCACCAAUACACCACAGACGUACUCCUACACACUAACCCUCUACCCUAAUCCUCUUCCUCCGCACCUUCCUAUCAAGGGUCAUGUCCUCCGUAAGCUGUAACUGCUCCAUGUCAUGUCUAAUCACCUCCCUCCAAUACUUCUUAGGCCUACCUCUCCCCUCCUAAAACCAUCCGUAGCCAUCCUCUCACAUCGCGGUACUGGAGCAUCCGUGCCCCUCCUCAUCACAUGCCCAAACCAUUGCAACCUCACUUCCCGCAUCUUGUCCUCCACCGAAGUCACCCCUAUCUUCUCCCGGAUAAUCUCAUUUCUAACCCUAUCCCUCCUGGUAAGUCCACACAUCCAUCACAACAUUCUCAUCUCCGCCACCUUCAACUUCUGUAUGUGGGAGUUCUUAACUGGCCAACACUCCGCUCCAUACAACAUAGCCGGUCGAACUACCACUCUGUAGAACUUACCUUUGAGUUUAGGCGACACCUUCUUAUCACACAAGAUUCCUGAAGUGAGCCUCCAUUUCAACCACUCUGCACCAAUAUGGUGCGUGGCACCCUCAUUAAUCUCCCUAUUCCCUUGAAUCAUAGACCCAAGGUACUUGAAACUCUCCCUCUUCUGGACUAUCUGGGAAUCAAGCUUCACUACCACGUCCGCUUUGUGCGAUAAAUCACUACACUUACAUUCCAAAUACUCCGUCUUAGUCCUGCUCAACCUAAAACCUUUAGACUCAAGGGUCUGUCUCCAAAGCUCCAACUUAUCAUUAGCUCCUCUCCGAGUUUCAUCAAUCAGAACAACAUCGUCAGCAAAUAACAUACACCAGGGCACUUCCCCUUGGAUAUGUCGUGUCAAAACAUCCAUCACCAAGGCAAAUAAAAAUGGGUUAAGAGUCGAUCCCUGGUGCAACCCUGUCAAAACCGGAAAGUGCUCUGAAUCUUCUUUUGCCGUCCUCACUCGAGUCUUCGCAUUGUCGUACAUGUCCUGUAUCGACCUAGUGUAUGCCACGGGCACCCCUCUAGCCUCCAAGCACCUCCAUAAUAUCUCCCUGAGAACUUUGUCAUAGGCCUUCUCAAGAUUGAUAAACACCAUGUGCAAGUCCUUCUUUCUCUCCCUAAACUGCUCUACUAACCUCCUCACGAGGUGAAUGGCCUUCGUAGUCGAGCGACCUGGCAUGAAACCAAACUGAUUCUCGAAAAUAGGCACGAUCCUCCUCAGUCUCAACUCUAUCACCAUUUCCCAAACCUUCAUAGUAUGACUCAACAACUUGAUACCACUAUAGUUGUUGCAACUCUAAAUCUCCCUCUUGUUCUUAUAUAGAGGAACCAUCGUACUCCAUUUCCACGCUCCGAGCAUAUUUGCUGCCCUAAAAAUGGUGUUAAACAAUCUCGUCAGCCACUCCAAACUUGCCUCGCCCGUGCUCUUUCAAAAGUCCACCGGAAUCUCAUCUGGCCAGUCGCCCUGCCCCUACGCAUCCUGCGAAUAGCCUCCUUGACCUCCUCCACCUUGAUACGCCUACAAUAGCCAUAAUCACGACACUUCUAUGAGUUCUUCAAGUCCCCCAUGACGAAACCCUUAUACCCCUCGUCGUUCAAAAGUCUUUGGAAAUAAGAUUGCCACCUCUUGAUGAGGGCAUCCUCCACCAACACUUUGCCAUCCUCCCCCUUGAUGGCACUUCACUUGGUCAAGGUCCACACGUCUUCCGCUCCCUAGCCUUGGCAAGCCUAUACAACUUUCCAUCCCCGCCUUUCUCUUCUAAAGCCGCAUACAAGCUCUCGAAAACCGCUGUCUUCGCCGUAGUAUCCGCUAACUUAGCCUUUUUCCUAGCUAACUUAUACUUUUCUUUAUUCGUCCGAUUCUUCUCGUCAUCCUUGCUCUCCACCAACUUAGCAUACACCACCUUCUUAGUCUCCACCUUCCGUUUGACUUCUUCAUUCCACCACCAGACCCCCUGGUGCUUGCCCGAUCGGCCUCUCGAAACACCCAACACCUCUUUAGCGGUCUCCCUAGUCUUCUCCCACAUACUGUCCACAUCCCCUCUACUCUCCCAAGCCCCCUGAGUCGUCAACUUCUCCUCUAUCUCCAACGCACUGUCCAAAGUCAAACUACCCCACUUAAUCCUGGGUCGAUCCUCCACUCCCCUCUUCUUUUUGGCUUUUCUGAUUACCAAUUCCAUCACCAGAAGCUUAUGUUGGGUCGAAAGAAUCUCGCUAGGUAUGACUUAUACAAUAGAAGUCUCUAAAAUAUAGGAGAGGAGAGAAUAAGAAAAUAGUAAAUCAAAUUUGUCUUCCAAGGAAAUUUUUUUUUAUUCCGAACAAUGCCAGGAUGUUACUGUAGGUUACCAUAAUUUGUCUGGCCCAUAUCCAGUUUGCCAGUUAGCUUGGAACAAGCAGUUUGUUUGCUUCCAAUUCACAAACUCGAACUUUCAGAGCUUCCAUUGUGCUUUAUUAUUAAACUUGAGCAUGAUUUUUUCCAAAAUUGUAACUGUUAGAGGGGUUUUGAGCACCUAAUGAUUUGUAUCAACUUAAGUGGUCGUUUGGUAGAGUGUAUAAGAAUAAUGCAGAAUAUGGUGUAUUAGUAAUGCUUGUGUUAGCUAUGCUUGUAUUUUCUUAUGCAGUGUUUGGUUUGAUGUAAUAAAAAUAACAUGAAUUACAUAAUUUCUAAAAAAAAAGAUUUUUUUUACAAAAAUAUCCUCCAUGUAUAUGUUGGAAAGGAUGCGAAUUUUUUUUUGAGGGAUAAUAGUGUCUUUAAUCAUGUUAAUACGUGCAUUGAAUUGUUGCAUUGCUAAUACCAUUGAUUUUGAUGUAUUAGUAAUACACACCUCAAUACACAAUAGAGUGUAUAACUAAUGCAAGCGUUAGUUUUACAUAGGGUGAAAACAUGUACCAAACAAGGUACUAAUAAUACAUAUUAAACUAAUGAAUGCAUUAGCUUUCCAAUACACUCUACCAAACGACUGCUAAAAAUUUGAGUCUGAGCUUUAUCAGUUUGGUACUUUGGAAUGUGUUCAGUUCUUCAUGACGCUAAUACUUAUUUAUUAAUGACAUUAUUGCAGCAAUAUGAGGUUAUACAACAUCAUACACAUCUUACUGUUCAAGAAUACUACGGGGCCAAAGGAGUUGAUGAUUGGAAUGCAGAAUCCUGGAAAAAAGAAACUGAUGAUAAUGAUGUAAGUGGUUCCCUUUUCUUGGUUUUCUGUACUAAAGGUGUUUGCUGAAAUAAUUAUAUGAUAAUCAAUAAACCUGACAUCUAGGGUAAUACAAUCUGUGCCAAGCAAGUUUACUUUUCUGACCCCAAGAUGACUAGCUCAACUGUGGUUCUGUAGUCAAGAUAUUAUCAUUUGAUAAAUAGUCUAUUUAAGAAUCAAAGAAUUACCCUUUGUCAUUGAAAUAAAUCCCUUAAACAGGUCAAGUUAAACUACGCAUGAAGCUUCAUAUUGUUGAUUCACAGAUUUAUAUGUAAAAGUUAUUUUACUGUCCUUGUUGAGGUUAUGGACACUGCACUAACAUGUUGAUGAAUGACAAAGGAAUUGUCAAAUGAUCAGCCUUUCUGAUUGUAUGAUUGUAGUUCUUAAAUUUCUAGGUCUACUACACAAGAACAUAUUUAAACUACUCUGUGCCUCACAUUCCGCUUUCUGAUUGUAGAUUCUGAUAUAUAUGAUUAGUAUUGUAAAGGUAGUGCCACACUCAAUGUUUUCUGCAUGUUACUUGUGAUCUUAGUCUAAUGGAAAGUCUAUCUAAGCCAAAUUCACUGAUCAGGUCUGAGCGCCAUAAAUUUUCCAGACAAGUCUGACCAAUUUCCUUGCAGAUCACAUGGAAAAGAUGUUCGUGUCUAUCUAGCUACCAGAAAUUACAUAUCAGUUUAGCAGUCAAUUGUAGUUAGCAAAAAUGUGCAUGCAUGAUUGUAUGAGAUCACACAAUCCUUCUGUUUUCUCUCAUUUAGAAUAUUUGUGAGUCUGGCUCACAUUCUUCUCUUAUUAUCUAUAAAAGCGACUGUGUAGAGCUCCGAAGUGGGUUGGGUUAGAAUAAAACAAGAUUUUAGGUGCUUGGAGGAGAUACCUUUGGGGUGAGAGUGAUCCUAUUUCUAGGUCUAAAUCCAGCUAGAAAUUUGUAGACUCUUAUCAGAUCCAACAUUGGAGUUGGUCGUACUACUUUGACUUGAAACCUCUGUGGUCUUUUUUGUAUGUUGACUUCUUCUUUAGUAAGGUUACCACAUGCUUUUCUAAGUAAUUUAUGGAUGGGCACUAAAUCUUAAUUUAUAUGCAAUUACUAUAGGUUUUGGUUAUGACACCCCAAAUUUUCUUGGAUGCUCUGAGAAAGGGUUACAUAAAAUUUGAUAGUGUGUGCUUUCUGAUACUAGAUGAGUGCCAUCGUGCCAGUGGUAACCAUCCUUAUUCUAGGAUUAUGAAGGUAAGCCUCACUUCUUUCAUGUGACUUUUCCUUAUUUUUUUUUGAGUAAUGUAACAGACUUUUCCUUAAUCCCUUCUUAAACUUUAUCAUCUUCUCAUUAUCCUGUUGGACAUGCUCCCGUGCACUCUCUAUAACCAUCAAAGGAAUUCUAUCAUCUAUCCAGAAAGAGAUCGAAGGUUUUUGGGAUGACCGCUUCCCCUGUGAUUAGAAAAGGUAAUUUUUGGCCUUCGUUGUUUCUGCCUACUUCUCUUUGCUCCAGUCACUCACACAUCAAGAAUUAAACAACUGAAACACGGAUAAAGGGGUUUCAAGGCACAAGAAUCUAUAAUGCUCAUGACGAACAGAAAUCAUGUAAAUGUUGCAGAAGUGAAAUUAGAUGCUUGAAAUCCCUUUAUUUUUUGGGGUGUAAGAGCAGUAGAGUGGAAGUGUUUUGCUGUUCUUAACUACUUACAUGCGAUAGCUCUUGCUUCUUUGCCGUCUAUUCGCUCUUCACCUUCCCAUUAGUUUUUGCGGCUUUACUGUAUCUUUUAUUAAAGAAGAAUUUGUUGCCUUUCCCCUUCCAUCUGAUGAUUAUACUCUUGUUUUACUAACUCACUAUAUUUAUUCUCUUAUUUUGUUUUUUAUUCCAUGAAAAUAUGAAAAGAAAAUUGCCUUCUGAAAAUAUACACAUGUCUGUAUGGGCACAUACUUGCAUACACCUAGUAGUGGGAUGUAAUGACUUCUCCAUCUUAUUGAGGACCUGACCUAAGAUCUUGUUGGUGGUUACUUCUAUUUGUUUUAUUUAUAUUUAAUUUAAAGUAAUUCUUAUUAUUAACGCUUAUAAAAGAAACCCUCAAAUCACUUGGUAUAUAAACCGGAGUCGUUGACUUUCACUUAGAUAUUAUCUGAGCUUGCUUGAGCCACAUUUUUCAUCAAACUUUGUGAGGUUCUUCGGGAUGUAUUCGUCUUCAAAGAAUUGGACUCGUAACGCUUCAUCCACAGCCUUUGAUGAGUGUGUAUAACAGGUCUUAUUUACUUUCAUGGAUUAAUGCGAUAUAUUUGCUUCAUACACGUUAUUUUGCUGUCAUUACUGUUCUUUUCUCUCCUCUAUAUGUUGUGUACUGAUCCCAUUUCACAUUAUUUCUUAUGGUUACUGCUCUCACUUCUGUAUUCCCCUUUUCAAAUUGCUUGGAAACACUUUAUUUUAAGCUAAGGUUCUAUCUGAAAUAGCCUCUCUAUCUCUACGAGGUAGGGCUAAGGUCUGUGUACACUCCACCCUCCUCAGGCCCCAAUUUUGGGAUUACACGGGAUAUGUUGUUAUCCUUGUUAGAAGAACAAGGAUGUAUACAUUGCUUGUUUUGAACUUGUAUAUAUGGCUUCUGUGCUGCAGAUUUAUGUAGUGUUACCUUUCUUAAAAAAGAGAGACAACGAUUUUAAAAAGACUAUAGGACCCAUUGCUAUUUAAUUAUUUUAAGAGUUUCUUAUUCCCAUUUUAGAGAUUCUGUAUUGACUUUUUUCUUUCUCAAAUAUACUCACUGUCUUUUCAGUUGGACUAUGCCUAAACUUUGGUUCGUCAUCCUUCCAUUUUUUAUCAUGGAUAUAUGCUAAUACUUUUGAUUUCAGCCAUCUUAGUUUAUUCGAAUGCGAUACAUUAAGGUUUAGAUCUUUUGUGGAUUUAUCUUGUAUACCCUUUCGAUCAGGUGUUUCAUCUUCGACAGAUUGCGAGGAGCAAAUUUCAGAACUUGAAAGUCUUCUUGAUUCCCAGGUAAUCUUCUAGCAAACCCUGUCACUUUAUUCAUUUAUUGCAGCCCGUGAAUAGUUUUCUUAACCCUAGUUAGAGUAAUGGUUCCUAAUGCAUCAGUAUAUGGUUUCUUCUUGUAUAGAUAUAUACACUCGAGAACAGGGUGGAGCUGGAUGAAUUUGUUCCUUCCGCAAAGGAGACUAGUAAAUUCUAUGAUCCAAUAGUGUUUUUGAAUACAGAAUUAAAGGAAAAUUUGAAAUUCUCAUGGUCAAAGGUAAAUGCCCGUAUGCAUAUAUCAUAUCAAAUAGGACAGUGUAGGAUAUCUGUUAAACAACCGAUAUGGCUCUUACAUUUUAAUCUAUCUCCAUUUAGUGCUUGAUGCUUAUUCUUUCUUUCAUAUUCCCGAUUCUUCAGUUUUUGAGAUUAAGGGCUACCUCUUACCAUUGUUCACGAAGAUUAUUUUGAGGGAGAAAUGAACGUUUAGAAUUGAGAGAAUGCGUAAAGGGAACUCUCCUACACCUAAAAGCGUUUAUGUGCACAUUAUACAUUCUAGUCCCUAUGAACGUGCUUUGCACGUUAUUCUAUGUCAAUCUUAAUUGUCGCAAAAAAUAUUAGGAAAUACCGUAAUAUUAUUUAUAAUUACAUACAUUUAUUUUAUGAGGUACAAAAUAGUUACUAUAGCAUAAGAAUUUAAUUAUGUGAUACUUCUGUGAAAAUGAUUGUUCUUGGUAUAUAUUUUUUCUUACAUGAACAACAUGUUACUAUACAGAUAAUCCAAUAUUAAGGAUUUAGUGACCAUAUGUUUAUUUAUUAACAUUUACAAAUAUAAAAGUAUUGGCUAGUUACGAUGGUGGUGUUUUCAAAACUUAAAUGAUGUCUUAUUGUGCUAAACUCCAGGAAUGUUCAGUUUCGGUCCUUAAACUUCAUACUUCUGUCUUACUUCUAACUUCAUACUUUUGUCUUACUCUUUCCUUCUCAUUUGCCGGAGUGGAUGUAGUCAUGCCCUUGCUUAUGUACUUAGAUAUUGGUAAAGAUUGCUUAGUCAGUAGCCUUGAGUGCUUUUCUGGAUGUUGAAUACGUAGUACUUGUUGACAUAGUUCCCCAUAUGAAUAAUAUGCUUCUUUGGAAUGUGACGUGAUAAAAUGUUUCGCAAAACUCAAGCCCUUGUACUUAAUUCAAGAUAUUUUCAUGAACAGUUUGAUGCUGCCUUGACUGACUUGAAACUGUCACUGCCAAGUCAGUACAAAGAUACAGAUGACAUGUAUAAGAAGCUUCAGAAGAGAUUAUCCAACUGUUAUGCAAAGAUAGUGUGUUGCCUUGAAAAUCUAGGCAUCAUUUGUGCUUAUGAGGUAUGAUUAUAAAGUUUUAUGAUAUGUUAUUCGUUUUCAUUUCUUAGUAAUAUAUAUAUAUAUAUAUAUAAUUGAAGGAGAGGCGCACAACUAGCUCCACCUAGGGCUUACUUUCAUCUUCUAUUUCUAUCUAUUGAAGCAUACACAUUCAUCAUUAGCACAAAUAUAUAUAUGCAUAAUAAUUCAUUACCUUUCUGUUUGAGGUAAAGAUGCUUAGGCCUCUCUUACAUGAAACAGUGUUUAGUAAGGGUGUGAAUCCAACUAAUAUUAAUUCGUCUACGCGGCGCUUCGAAUUGCAUUAUUUAGAACCAAAGAACAGACUGUAUUUUUGGUUAGCUGGUUCUAUCUAUUUUGUACCUUGAACUUUUAGAUUGGAUUGGUCUUUGUCCAACUGAUCAUCUUCUCUCCUUGAAGUAAGCAAGGAUGUCCAUUCCAUAAAAUAUGAUCUCCGCUACUUACUGGACACUGAGAGAAUGAGAACAUGCGUCCAUCUAUAUUCAAGUCCAAAUAAUUUCAAUUCACAAAAUCUCCUUAGUUGAUUCUAACUAUAUACACAAUAUCCUCAACACUACCCCCUCAAGAUGGUACAUGCAAGUCAUAUGUAUCAGUAAUGGAUUUGGUGAAAAUAUCUGCAAAUUGAUCAUUUGACUUCACAAAAUUUGUGACAAUGUUUCCUGGAAGUAUCUUUGCUCUCACAAAGGGACAAUCAAUCCCUAUGUUUAGUUUCUCAUGAAACACGCAUCCGAUGCAAUAUGAAGAGCAACUUGAUUAUGUCACACAAGUUUAGUCUCGUUAGUUUGUCCAAACUUUAAUUCUCUAAGCAUUUUUUGAACCAAACUAGUCCGCAUGUUGUCAUAUAGAUCAUUGAAUAUUUCGCUUCUGCACUAGAACGUGCAACGUCAUUUGUUUUUUUGUGUUACCAACACACCAUAUUACCUCCAAUGAGAAUACAGUAUCCAGAAGUAGACUGCCACAUUAGUCUAGUCGAAAGCAUUUAUAAGAUCAUCCCUAAGGUGCUUUCCCACAAGACUUAAAGAAGGUGCUAAAUGAGACUGUAUCUACCUUGCAAAAUGCUUUUAUGGAGGGUAGUCAGAUGUUGGUUGCAAUUUGGUGUCAAAUGAAGUGGUAGAUUCGAGGAGAAAGCAAGGUGUGACAAAUAUGUUGUGUAAGCUUGAACUUGAGAAGGCCUACGAUCAUGUGAGCUGGAGUUUCCUAGAUUUUCAUCAUGACUCGGAUGGGAUUUGGGGAAAAAUGGAGAAAAUGGAUCAGAUUCUGCAUUUCUUCCGUGAUAUAUUCAGUUUUAGCGAACGACAAUCUAUGCAGUUUUUUGGGAGUUCUAAGGGUCUGAGACAAAGGGAUCCUUUGUCUCCGAGCUUGUUCAUCCUUGUUAUGGAAGCUCUGUGUAGGGUGAUGGACAAAGCUAUCAUGGGAGGUUUUUUAAAAGGAUUUAGUGCAGUGAUUGGGGGUGUUGGGGACAGUCUUAGUUUCCCACUUAUUGUUUGCAGAUGAUACUUUGGUUUGUUGUGAUGCUAAUAUGAACCAGCUGGAUUAUUUAGGCCAGUGCGUACUUGAUUUUAGGUGGUGUCAAGCCUUAAAAUUAACCCAAGUAAUUGUGAGAUUUUUCUAGUCAGGGAGGUGGCUGACAUUGGGAUGCUUGCUCAGUUGAAAUGCAGAGUGAGGGCUCUUACCUAUCUUGGACUACCAUUAGGAGCUUCAAACAAGGAUGUUUUGGUGUGGAAUUCGGUUCUUCAGUGGGUUGAGAAGAGAUUAACGGGGUGACAAAAAAGAUACGUGUCCAAAAAGGAAAAGAGGUGCUUAUUAAGAGCACCUUAUCAAGUAUACUCACUUAUUUCUUGUUUCUGUUUCAAGCUCCAAUUUCGGUCAUAGGAAAAUUGGAGACUUUGCGAAGGAUUUUCUUUGGGAUGGGGCGGAUGGAGCAAAGAAAUUUCACUUGGUGCAUGGGAAGACUGUCACAUCUGCUAAAGAAAAUGGGGAGGUCUAGGAAUUAAAGAUUUGACAAUGUUUGUUGGGCAAAUGUCUUUGGCUUUUCGGGGUGGAGUACAUGUUUUUUUGAGAGUGGUGAUAGUUAAUAAAUAUGGGGUAAUGGAAGGGGGAUGGAGGACUAGAAAUGUCAUUAUGCUCCUUGGGUGUGGUUUGUGGAGAAAUAUAAUGAAGGGAUGGGAUGAUUUCAAUCGAAAUAUCAUUCAAGGUUGGAAAUGGGAGAAGAGUUAAUUUUGGGGGUAUAGGUGGUGUGGGGAUAACUUAUUGAAAGAUGAUUUCCAGAUAGAAUGUCAUGCCAAAGAAACCUAUCGGUCCAAUAAAUUAGGGAGAUACAUGGUGGAGAGACGUUUUGGGAUUUGAGAUUUAGAAGGUAUUUCCAUGAUUGGGAGGCGACCAAACUCCAAUUGAUGGCCAUCCUUCACAGUCAAGUCAAUUCGGUGGAUGAACUUGAUGCUUCGUGGAGGGGUUUGAGGAACACUGGGGUCUUCUCUAGUAAAUCUUUUUAUGAGAAACUCCUAAUUAGGGAGGAGGUUGUGUUUCCAUGUGAUGCAAUUUGGAUAGCGUUGGUGCCGAGGAAGGUGUGUUUUUCUCUUGGCAAGCAUCUAGAGGGGUGAUUAUGACGGCGGAAAAUCUAAGAAAACAUAAGGUUAUCUGUGUUUGGUGCUUCAUGUGUAAGGAGAUAGGGGAAAAAGUGGAUAAUCUUCUCAUUUACAUUGUGACUUUACCAUGAGAUUAUGGUGGGAUAUGCUUCGGUGAUUCAGAGUUUCUUGGGUUAUGCCAGAAUCUGUGGAAGAGUUAAUGUUUUGUUGGAGGAGUGGGAAUAGGAGGAGAAGACGUAACACAUGAAUUUGGUCCCUGCGUUGAUGUGGAUCAUUUGGAAUGAGAGAAAUAGGAGGGGUUUUGAGGGGGUAAAGUCGAGUUUUUCUCAAGCGAGGAAUAGCUUCUGGUCUCUUAUUUUCUUUUGGUGCACCCAUAAAAUCCUUGUUUUAUAGAAGAUGGGUGUGCUUUGUAAAGAAUCAGAUGUUGUAGAUUCUUUACCUUUUGGUUUCUUCCUUUGUAUAUGGCCAUUUCGGCCUUGUUUAUUAAUGAAAUACACAUAUCUUAUAGAAAAAAAAAUUGACUGCCACUGCCUAUCAUAAGGUGAUCCUGUAUAUGACUAGCAAUACAGUAUCAUCACAAUUAGCAACAGAGAUCUUAGAUUUGAGUCUUACCUCUGCCCAUCAACAAAUAUUUUUGCAUGGUCAGCCAUAAAAGAAUUUGGCUCAUGUAAAAAAUUAGGCCUUCAUAUAGGGGAAUCGUAUAGGCUUAAAUAAAUAGAUAAAUGUGCGACCUCUUUAAUUACUGAAUCUUUUAGAUGAGAGAAUUUACACAAUACAACAUAAAUGUUUUGUAUGAUAAUAUUGAUAAUAUGCCUGGAAUAUGCUUUAUAAUCUUUCUUUUAGUUCUUUCCCUUGGAAUUCUUUUUUGUUCUUUGAAACUGGUAACGUUGUAUUUCUUAGCAUUAGGGGAUAUGCUGCCACCACCAAAAGUAUUACAAAGAAAAUAAGAGUAGAAAUACUUACAGAGCUCCUAUAAAGUCCACUAAUUGGAUCUCAUCAUCUAUAUCUUGUUCUUUACACCAAAAACCUAAGGAAGUGAUAACUUUCCAUUUAAUAUUUUCUAUAGUACAUUCUUUCCCUUCAAAGAUUCUCCGGUUUUCCCUUGGAAAGUAUUCGGAAAAGCAAAGAUCUUUGAAACCCUCUCUUUGUGUGAUUCUGCCUUGGUGACUCCCUUAACAGGGGAGCCUUAGAAAAAAGGGUAAAACUAGAUCUUUGUUAAUGGAUGUAUAUUUGUAUGAAAGCUGAACGAUCAUGCUGUGCACUGUGAAUGGCUGCUCAUGUUGGACAGUAAUCUAUGCCAUUGGAAGUCUUCCACUGUCUGCCGACUUGUGUUAGAGGUCCGCCUGCCGUGUAGUUGGUGUGGGCAGGUCCAAAAAGUUUCCAGAAUUCACUCAUGAACUUGUUAGUUCUAAUUUAAGCUACCUGAAACAUGAAUAGGGGAAUUUUACUUUACCUAUUUAAAUCAGGUAAUGAGCCAAAAAGGGGUUUCUGUCCAGUGUAAUGUAAGAGAUAUCUUAAAGAUGAAGGUCUUCACAGACUCUGGGUUAAUUUAGUUUACCUAGCCUUUGCUUUAGUUGACUGUGCAAGAUUUAUGCCAAUGACCACUUGUAUUAUUCAUAAUUUUCUUGUCUCUCUUUGAAUGCGUCAUGCAAUGAUCUUUUAUGGAGAUCCUCUGUAUUUGGAAAAGCUACCUGUUAAAAGAGAGUAAAGAAGAUCUUGGCAGUGGAUUUUGUGGACCUUAUGAAAGGAGAAAAUUAGUAGUUUCUUUGAGGGAUUUACUGUUUGAGUUUUGAUGUAACUUCAUGAAUAUUAAAUAUUCUGAGGUCCUUGUAGACAUAGCCACUCGUGCAUUCUGCAGCACUAGCUUAGUGCUCAUAUAUGACUAAAAUUUACUUACUCAAAAAGAAAGAAUUCCAUGGCUAUUUUUAUUUCAAAAAGGGAACGAAGGAUUUUUUUUCCUUUCAAAUUGUGCUUGAUUUCCUUUCGAACAUCUUUUUUUGUUUGCGUCAAAAUCACUUGAUUCCUGGAAGUCUGUGGGGGUAUGAUUGGGGCAAAGAAUUAAUUCAUGGAAUCCCAGCUCAAAAUCUGCCUUUGAUUUACUAAUUAGAAAAACAGAAGCUUGUUCUUUAACUUUUCAUCUCGACUUAUACAGAUGAGCAUCCUUGUUCUCCCAACAUCAUCUAUAACAAUUAAAAUAUCUUCUUCUGUCCAAAAGAAGAAGUGGAGUUCUCUUCCUAGAAAGUUUAGGAAACCUAUUGGACAUUUUAUCUUUCAAAGUAGCAAAUCAAAGUAAGUAUUAGGAAAACCUAAAAGAAUUUAAGUCCUCACUGAAGCAAUUGUAAUGCGGGACCAUAUGGAAGUUGUACUUUUUCUUUAAUUAUGUACUUGGGAUCUUUCCAUUGUUGCAUGAAUGUGUUUGCUUGGCCUCUAUUCAAUUGAUGAACUCAGCAUCCAUGCGUUUUGUGGUGAUCUAUGGCACAUUUAAUUGGUUCUAAGCUUGGUCUUUUUGGACUAUUGGGACUUAAUAUUCUAAGCUGUGGGUUUCUCUACCAGUUUCUAUGUUUUCUUCAAAAGUUCUGCAUCUCAGGUCCGACACUCUUUUUAGAUCUAUCAAAUGUUGUUUUGGAAUUUCUUAAUUCUGUCUCUGUUUUUCCCUCAUGUUAUAGGCUGUUAAAAUUUGCUUGGAAAAUGUGGCCGAUGACAAAGAUGAAAAUGAGAUUCUAAAGAAAAGUUUUCUACAAUAUAGAUACUUUUUGGAGGAGGCAUUGUCAAUUCUCCAGGAAUCAAUGCGACAAGGUACCUGAGUUUGUUUUAUCUAUUGCUUAUGCAGAUUUGUGGCCAUUGCUGACCUUUGUGUUGUUAUAUUUAUCACUUUUAUUUCGAUGUUACUUUUUUGGGUUCCUUCGCUUUAAACAUGCAUAUUUGAUCAUCCUGCUAAUGGAUCUUGAGUUAACAUUCUUUUUGGUGUAAGGUUUGUAGGAGUGAAGGGUUGCCAUAUGCCACGUCAAGAAUCUAUAGGCGGGUAUAGAGGUCGGGGAUUAGGGUAGAAAGUUAGUAGGUAGUCGAGAUUGAGUCGUUAGAAUCUAUAGGCGGGUAUGGAGGUCGGGGAUUAGGGUAGAAAGUUAGUAGGUAGUCGAGAUUGAGUCGUUCUCCUUACCAAUUGUAUUAUUACUAUUGUUCUAUUAUCUCUGCGAUUUUGUUACCACUUGUUGUUUCCUUUUGCUUCGAUUAUUGUAUUAUUUGCUGUUGUCAUUGUUCUUUUUCUCUAUUGUUGGACUUAUUUCAUAAACAAGUCACAACAGUAAGUAAUACUGAUGCUUUGGGGGUGUGUUUUAAGCCCUAAAAUGAGUCUCAAACGUGUUGAGCGCUUUGCCUUGCUUGAUGUGUGCCAAUGAGCCUCUUCUGAAGAUGCGACGCUAAACAAUUGAUAUUUCACUUUAUCGUAAUUUUUUCAAUUUCGUUGUUCAUAUAUUUGUAAUUCAUGCUUAUAAUUAUUAAUCUUAUACUAGACAUAUAUAUAUAUAUAUAUAUAUAUAUAUAUAUAUUCUCGCUUUGCUUCAUUAAAGCCCACUCUUUAUUUGCAUAUUGCGCUUAAAGCCCCAAAGGACCUUAUAGCUUCUUUUGCUUUUCACUUUUGACUGGUCGGUGAGAUACGGGGUGUAAUGAUAUGUUCUAGGUCAAGUCUUAUUAUGAGAAACAUCUAGUUAGAGGGGAAGAUUUUUCCUUUUAACACUUUUUGGAUACCAAAGGUACCGAGGAAGGUGUGUCUUUUCACUUGGCUAGCUACUAGAGGGGUGAUCUUGAUGGUAAACAAUAUUAGAAAGCGAAAGGUUGUUUGCAUGAGCUGGUGUUAUAUGUGCUAGGAAGCGGGCGAGGACGUUGAUCGUCUUCUUCUUUAUUGUGAUUUUACCAUGAGGUUAUGGUGGGAUAUGUUUAGGUGGUUUCGUACUUCAUGGGCAAUGCCAAGAACUAUGAAAGAAUUGAUGUUUAUUUAGAAGAGCGGGAGGAGGAGAAAACGGAAUGUGGUUUCAUUCAUGUUGAUGUAGGUGGUAUGGAGAGAGAAAUUGAUAAGAAUCGGGUUGCGUUAAUUAACAAGAAAAUAAUGCGAAAGCAAAAAUACUAAGAUUAAAGGCAAGAAAUUAAAGAUAGGCAAAAUUUGAGAAUAAAUCCCUAAUUUCGAGAUGAAGUGCUAAGAACCCUAAUUGAUCUUAAUAUUCAAAAUUAGUGGAUUAAGAUUAAUUAUGAUACCAAUAGAGUCAAUUCAAGAACUUAGAUCACCAGAUCCAAAGGUGAUCUAGACCCCUAUUUUGAAGAAAUUAAAGACAACAAUUAGUAUAAGACUAAUCACCUUCUUUAAUUAACUUUAAUAGAAACCAAAGAUAUCAAAUUAAGAAUUAUUCUUACCUCCUAAAGAAUCGUUCUUAUAGGGUUGCAAAAUAAAUGCCAAGUAGCCACACACAAAGGUGUAAAUAAGAGAAACUCUUAAUUAAUAAUAAUAUUGUCUCAUUGAAAAUAAUAAAAUCCAUUCCUAUAUAUAGGAAAAAAAAAACCUAUCCCAAAUAGCGUGGGAUUGGGAUCUACCUUUAUCAAAUCUAACAAGGACUAGGAAAAAGCUAUCCCAAAUAACAGGGGAUUCGAAUUCUACUUUUAUGGAAAUAAAUAAAUCUAGGAAACUUUAAACUAGGGAACUUUUAAACUAGGAAACUUUAAACCAGGAAAGCAAAAGUUUCUGAUUUUAAUCAAAACCCUAUGGGCCCAAUCUUCUACAUUUAGACUUGAAAUUGAAUCAUGAAAUAUGUGUAUCACUUAGCCCAUGCUUCUCCAUAAUUCUUGGACUCAUUCUUGGGCUCCUUUUCCAUCAUAAGCAUCUUCUUGAUUCACAUUGAAGCCCGUCAAUCUUAACGCAAGUGGGCCAGACUAGAUGCUAUCAUUCCCCUCUUCUUGAAAACAAUUCGUCCUCGAAUUUGAAUCUCGCAUAAUCAAGAGACAUACAAUAGUAAACAACAUCCAUUACUUGAAAACAACAAUGGUAGGAACAAAACAAGAUAGUGACCAUGCAUCCACUUAACCCAGUUAAUCCCUGCAUGUAUAAAUACAUCUUUAUAAAGCAUGUGGACAUCAUCAUCCUAAUAGAAAGUUAUCUUCCUUGUAUGAGCACAACAAUAUUCAUGUUUAGAUGACGUAGGGAAUGAUAUGUGUCUCUCCAAUUUAGCUCUAUCAAUAAAGUACUCCACUGGGCUUGUCAAAGAUGUCAUAAGCUCCAUAAAAUGUGUAUCAAAUUUAACACUUAAAGUUCACCUAUACGCUACACCUGGACUGACCGGCAGCUUCCGACACCGGCAACGGCGUCGAUUGAGCCGGAAAAGGUAAGGUCGAACCUCUUUCCCACCCCAGAUCUCCCUCUCCCCCAGUUUCCUCUAUAUAUUUUGCCCCCCUCAACUUUCGGCAAUAGGGAAGGGUUUCAUCUACGGCAAAAAAGGUAGGUCAAACAGGUGGUUCGAGGUCAGUAGACGUCUAGAUCCCGGCAAGACUCGAAAACCUCUCCGGCGUUACUCCGGCAAACUCCAGAGAUUUACCAGCAAUUUUUUUACCAGCUACCUUAUUUCGGCAACAAACUUUUGACACCAAAUCGACAAAACCAGCAGCUAGCAGGCGUACCGGUGACAUCUAAACUUUUAUUCAUUUAGCCACUUCAUACAGUUUUUGAUUCUUUUAUAUUAUUUUGUUUUUGUUUCUGUUUCUAUUUCCCUUUUUCUUCGUCGUUUCCUGUUGCUUGUGUGUGUAGUGGUGUCUGGCUGCUUUGUUUGGAGAGUGUUGUUGAGUUGUGUUCUGGAUUAUUUCAUCGCUCGUCUUAGUUAUAAUUUGUGGGAUAGACGUUUUCCUUGUUUACUCCUUCUACUUUGCUUGUACCUUCUAUUUCCUACUGUUGCUUUAUUACUAUCGUUGUUUGUUUUCUUGUGGAGUUGUGGCUGUGGCUUUAAUGGUAGGAUAGAGUCAUGUCCGAGGGAGUUAGAGAGGGGGGCUGUUUUGGAGGUGGGGGAGGAGGAAAGGGCGGGUGGGGGAGUGGGGGCAAGGUCUGGCGUUAGGGGUGGUAGAAGAAGCCAUAUUGCUAGAGUCAAUAGGCUGAGGGUUGGGUCUUGGAAUAUAGGGACUCUUCAGGGUAAGUCUAUUGAGCUGGUGAAGAUUCUUAGAAAGAGGAGGAUCAAUAUUACGUGUAUGCAGGAGACUAAGUGGGUAGGGUCUAAGACUAGGGAUGUAAAUGGGUACAAGUUAUGGUACUCUGGUAGCGAGAGGCGUAGGAAUGGAGUUGGCACUUAGUGGAUGAAGAGCUUAGAGGGCAGGUAGUGGAGGUUAGGAGGAUCAACGAUAGGUUGAUGACUGUUAAGUUGGUCAUUAGGGGGUUUACCCUGAACAUGUGUAGUGUUUAUGCGCCACGGUGGGCUUGGGUGGGGAGGAGAAGAUGCAGUUAUAGGAGGCUUUGGAUGAAGUGGUGAGAGGAGUGCCAGGGGACUUAAAUGGGCACAUUAGGGCGUUUCCGGGAGGCUCUGGCAAUGUGAAUGGUGGUUUUGGUUUUGGUUUUGGGGAGAGGAAUGAAGAGGGAGCUGCUCUGUUGGAUUUUGCGAGGUCCUUUGUGUUGGUUGUGGUGAAUUCAAGCUUCCCAAAGAAGGACGAUCACCUGAUCACCUUCCGAAGCGUGAUAGCCAAGACCCAAAUUGACUUUUUGCUGCUUAGGAAAGGGGAUAGGGUGUAGUGUAAGGACUGUAAAGUCAUUCCGAGUGAGAAUCUUUCGACUCAACAUAGGCUUUUGGUAACUUGGGUAUUAAGAAAGAUAAGAAGAGAAGGCGUGAGGAGGGUAGACCUAGAAUUAAGUAGGACAGCUUAACGCCGGCGACUGCACGGGAGAUGGAGGAGAAGGUGAGGGGAAUGAGGGUGUGGGAGUGUAAGGGCGGCGUGGAUAAUAUAUGGGAUAGGGUGACUGGGUGCAUCAAGGAGAGUGCUAGUGAGGUGUUGGGUAUUUCUAGAGGUCGGGCUGGUCACCUUCAGAGGGAUUGGUGGUGGAAUGAAGAAGUUAAGAAGAAAGUGGAGAUGAAGAAGGGGGCAUAUACAAAGUUAAUAAUAGGGAAGAGUACAAGAUAUCUAGGAAGGAGGCUAAGGUAGGUAGCAGUUACGGAGGCUAAGACGGCAGCGUUCGAGAGCUUGUAUGCAGGGUUGGAGGCGAAAGGAGGGGAAAAGAGGUUGUUUAGGCUUGCUAAGGCUAGGAAGAAGAAGGGUCGUGACCUCGAUCAGGUGAAGUGCAUUAAGGGGAAGGAUGGUAGAGUGUUGGUGGAGGACGGUUACAUUAAGAAGAGAUGGCAGACGUGCUUUGAUAGGUUAUUGAAUGAUGAAGGGGAUAGAGCUCCUGUGUUAGGGGAGCUGGAGCACUCUGAGGAGUGUCGUGAUUUAGUUAUUAUAGACACUUUAAGGUAAAGGAGGUUAGAGAGGCUGUUCGCAGGAAGCGUAGGGGUAGGGCGACGGUUCCUGAUGAGAUUCUUGUGGAUUUUUGAAAGUUUUUUAGCGAGACUGGCUUGAGAUGGUUGACUGGUCUAUUUAACGGUAUUUUCAAGUUCGCGAAAAUGCCCGAGGCAUGGAGAUGGAGUACUAUGAUCCCUCUAUAUAAGAACAAGGGUGACAUUCAGAGUUGCAACAACUAUAGGGGUAUUAAGUUAUUGAGCCACACUAUGAAGAUUUGGGAGAAAAUGGUCAAGUUUAGGUUGAGGAGGUUAGUGACCAUCUCGGAGAACUAGUUUGGAUUUAUGCCUGGGCGCUCGACGACGGAGGCAAUUCAUCUGGUGCGGAGACUGGUGGAACAGUAUAGGGAAAGGAAGAAGGACCUGCACAUGGUGUUUAUCGACUUGGAGAAGGCGUACGACAAAGUCCCUAGGGAGGUUCUUUGAAGAUGCUUGGAGUUGAGUGGGGUCCCGGUGGUGUAGAUCAGAGCAAUCAAGGACGUGUAAUGGAGCUACGACUCAGGUUAGGACGGCGUAAGGAGAUUCAGAGCAUUCCUCUGUCUUGACAGGGUUGCAUCAGGGAUCUACUCUUAGCCUAUUUUUGUUUGCUUUGGUGAUGGAUGUGUUGACGCGGCGUAUUCAAGGAGAGGUGCCUUGGUGUAUCCUUUUUGUAGAUGAUGUAGUUUUGAUUGAUGAGACGCGGAGGUGUGUGAAUGAUAAACUAGAGGUGUGGAGAUAGACCCUUGAGUCUAAAGGGUUCAGGCUGAGUAGGAGCAAGACAGAGUAUUUGGAAUGCAAGUUUAAUGACAUGAGGCAGGAAAACGAAGUGGUAGUAAGGUUGGAUUCCCAGGAGGUGUGUAAAAGGGAUAGUUUCAAGUAUCUCGGGUCCUUGAUUCAGGGGAAUGGUGAGAUUGACGAGGAUGUCUCCCACCGUAUUGGAGCGGAAUGGAUGAAGUGGAAGCUUGCUUCGGGGGUGUUGUGUGAUAAAAAGGUGCUGCCCAAGCUUAAAGGCAAGUCUAUAAGGUGGCAGUCCGUCCGGCCAUGCUUUAUGGAGCGGAGUGUUGGCCAGUUAAAAACUCUCACAUUCAAAAAUUAAAGGUGGCGGAAAUGCGGAUGUUGCGUUGUAUGUGUGGGCUUACUAGGGGUGAUAGAGUUUGGAAUGAGACCAUUCGGGAAAAAGUUGCAGUGGCUUCGGUGGAGGACAAGAUGCAGGAAGUUUGAUUGAGAUGGUUCGGGCAGGUGAUGAGAGGUAAUUAGCCGGGACAUGGGGCAGUUGCAGCUCACUGAGGACAUGACCCUAGAUAGGAAGAUCUGGAGGACGCGAAUUAGGUUAGAAGGCUAGUGCCAGUUUGGGUCGUUGGGCAGGGCUUUACUUGAUGUGUAUUAUUCUUGUUAUGCCACCUUAUUGCAUGCUUUAUUACAAAUUUUUUUACUAUUAUUUGUUUAUUAUUCAUUUUGGGCGGCGUAUUUAUGUCUUCUUAUCUUGUUCCAUGCUUUAUUACGGAUUUGGUUAUUAUCUCGAGUCUUGGGCCGGGGUCCUAUCGAAAACAACCUUGCUACUUCUUCGGAGGUAGUGGUAUGAACUACGUACAUCUUACCCUCCCAGACCCCACUAUGUGGGAAUACACUGGGUUGUUGUUGUUGUUGUAUGAUAUAGCCAAGCAUCAUCAAUUACACUUGAAGAUUUUUCCAUAUAACAUUUAUUCACAUAAGCAUAGGAGAUUUCAAGAAGGUUAGAAGAAUCCUUCAAUCUCAAAAUACAAUCUCCAUUAAAUUCUAAGUAGCUGCUCAAAUUCACCAACAAGAAAUCAUGAAUAGGGUCAACAAUGGACAUUUGAUCAUUUGUAUCAUAAUAGUCACGAAUUUCCUCAUCACUAGUAGCAAACAUUGUUUUUUCCUUACAAUCACCAAGACUUGAGGAGUCAUACCUUAAUUUGGUCUUAUGUAGCAAAGGAAUAAUAUUACCUCGUUUUUCCUUGCUCAUUAGCGUUAGAUCUACAUCUGUCUUGUUGGACUUCUUGUCAUAAGUCUCAUCAUGGACAAGUCCAAAAUAAUUCUCUUUACCUAUAUCCUUCUUAUGAACAAACACUUGCUCAAUGGGACAUGUNNNNNNNNNNNNNNNNNNNNNNNNNNNNNNNNNNNNNNNNNNNNNNNNNNNNNNNNNNNNNNNNNNNNNNNNNNNNNNNNNNNNNNNNNNNNNNNNNNNNNNNNNNNNNNNNNNNNNNNNNNNNNNNNNNNNNNNNNNNNNNNNNNNNNNNNNNNNNNNNNNNNNNNNNNNNNNNNNNNNNNNNNNNNNNNNNNNNNNNNNNNNNNNNNNNNNNNNNNNNNNNNNNNNNNNNNNNNNNNNNNNNNNNNNNNNNNNNNNNNNNNNNNNNNNNNNNNNNNNNNNNNNNNNNNNNNNNNNNNNNNNNNNNNNNNNNNNNNNNNNNNNNNNNNNNNNNNNNNNNNNNNNNNNNNNNNNNNNNNNNNNNNNNNNNNNNNNNNNNNNNNNNNNNNNNNNNNNNNNNNNNNNNNNNNNNNNNNNNNNNNNNNNNNNNNNNNNNNNNNNNNNNNNNNNNNNNNNNNNNNNNNNNNNNNNNNNNNNNCCAAGCUUGAUAUGACAAUCUUGCAUUGGAAUUACAUCACAAAGAACAUUAUCAGAGUACCUUGCAAUGGAGAAAGAAAUCAUGCAUUGCUUAGUCACCUUAAGUUUACCGAAAUCAUUGUGUUUGAUGCAUAUAAGUUUCAACUUCUCCACCACGUAUAAACUUAUCACAUUAGCAUCACUUUCAAAAUCAAUAAUUAUAGAGCAAAUUUUAUCCUUUAUCCCAUACCUUGUUUGAAAAACAUUUCUCCUUAAAUCAGUUAUAUUCACUGAUUAAGUAGGUUUUAGGUGACCUCUAAUGCAUCGAGUCGAGCAAAAAUCCUUCUAAGUGCCUCGGCUAUGUCAUUGUUUUGAGUCCCAGCAUCAGUAUCCUUUACGGUUUGAGACAUCUCCAAAGUUUAAAGAAAACAAAAACUCUCAAUUUGGCCCUUUUUUUUUUAUCUCAUCCCUCUUGCCUUUUCCCAUUCAAAUUACAACCUUUGACUGAUUCCUUUAGGAUUUAUAUAUUAACCCUACUAGUAACAAUCCCUUUAGAAAUAAGAUGUAGAGAUUAAAAAAAAAUUACCAACUCCCAGACGGAUUGGGUUUGAUGAGACAAGAAAAAGACCAAUUUAAAAAAAUCUAAAUUUUUUCCUCUUCUUGGUUUUUCUCCUUGAUGUUGGAAAACAAGAAACAUAAUAAAUUUGAAAUUUCUUGAUCUAAAGCAACCUUUUUUUUUUAACUAGGAAACUCCCAAGAAUUAUCAAAAACGGAACCUUGAUAGACCCGCUCUGAUACCACUUGAGUCGGGUUACGUUAAUAAACAAGAAAAUAAUGCGGAAGCGAAAAUACUAAGAUUAAAGGCAAGAAAUUAAAGAUAGGCAAAAUUUGAGAAUAAAUCCCCAAUUUCGAGAUGAAGUGCUAAGAACCCUAAUUGAUCUUAGUAUUCAAAAUUAGUGGAUUAAGAUUAAUUAUGAUACCAAUAGAGUCGAUUCAAGAACUUAGAUCCAAAGGUGUUCUAGACCCCUAUUUUGGAAGAAAUUAAAGACAACAAUUAGUAUAAGGCUAAUCACCUUCUUUAAUUAGCUUUAAUAGAAAUCAAAUAUAUCAAAUUAAGAAUUAAUCUUACCUCCUAAAGAAUUGUUCUUGUAGGGUUGCAAGAUAAAUCCCAAGUAGCCACACACAAAGGUGUAAAUUAGAGAAACUCUCAAUUAAUAAUAAUAUUGUCUCAUUGAAAAUAACAAAAUCCAUCUCUAUAUAUAGAAAAAAAAAAAAACCUAUCCCAAAUAGCAUGGGAUUGAGAUCUACCUUUAUCAAAUCUAACAAGGACUAGGAAAAGCUAUCCCAAAUAACAGGGGAUUCGAAUUUUACUUUUAUGGAAAUAAAUAAAUCUAGGAAACUUUAAACUAGGAAAGCAAAAGUUUCUGAUUUUAAUCAAAACCCUAUGGGCCCAAUCUUCUGCAUUUAGACUUGAAAUUGAAUCAUGAAAUAUGUGUAUCACUUAGCCCAUGCUUCUCCAUAAUUCUUGGACUCAUUCUUGGGCUCCUUUUCCAUCAUAAUCAUCUUCUUGAUUUACAUUGAAGCCCGUCAAUCUUAAUGCAAGUGGGUUAGCCUGGAUGCUAUCAGAAAUAAGGGAGUUUUUUUUUGAGAAAUAGAAAUAAGAGAGCUUUUGAGGGGGUGGAGUCGAGGUUUUCUCAAUUGAGGAGUAACCUCUGGUCCCUUGUUUUCUUUUGGUGCUCCCACAGAAUUCCAAGUUGUAUAGGAGAUUGGUGGAGUUUGUAGAGAAUCAUUUACUAUUGUAAAUUUUUUACCUUUUGGUAUAACCCUUGUAUACGGCAGCUCAUUUCCGAUGUUUAUGUAUGAAAAUAUGUUUGCCUGAUCAAAAAUAAAAAUAAAAAUUGGACAUGGCUUUUACUUCUAUAUAUCCUUUUCAAACCUGCUUCAAAUUGUUUUACUUGAGCCGAGGGUCUUUCGGAAACAGCCUCCCUGCCUUCACAAGGUAGGGGUAAGGUCUCAUACACACAACAAUCCCCAUACUCCACUUGUGGGAUUACACUAGGUGUUGAUGCUGUACUGGGAGUAUUCAUUCUGCUCCUUGUUUCCUCAGUUUGGCUUUCUACUGUUACACAUUACAUUUUAGUAUCAGGAAUUCAUUAGGUUCUUCAAUUGACUGUAUCAUAAUUAUUCUCUUUUCUUUUCCGAAUGGACCAACUUUUUUUUUUUUUUUGAAACUGAUAACUUCGAAUGGACCACCUUUUAUGAGAUCAUUUCUUGCUCUCUCUAUUAUACUGUGCCAUGACUUACAUAUUUCUUUCUUUUUUACAUGAGAUCUUUUAUCCCUGUAUGCUACUUCUUUUCUCUGUACUGUGGACAUCAUUAGAUCAAGGUCAUUAAGUUUUCCAUAGAAGCUUCUCCUAUAUCAAAUAAUCCAUCAAACUAGGACAGCUAUAUAUGCUAUAUUCAUUCUUUUGAUAUCUAUUUUGUCCUUUUUUUUGCUGAAAAAAAGUAGUUAAAACUUGAAUACCUUCCUAUUUAAGUAUCAUUGUGUUACAAUUUAUUCCGAGCUAUGACAAAGUUGUAACUUGGUCAGUUUCCUGUGAUGUGUGAUCUUUGUUGAUUGGCUAUGCUUCUUUAUGGCGCAAUUAGUGUUAAUGUUGCUAGAAUGUCUUCCGUUCAGACUUUUUAGUUCUGGUCUGCUAUGCAGUAGAUAAUAAUUGAAUUUUCAUGCUGAAUUGACUUUUACCAUGUUAACACAGUAAAAGUUCCAACUUUUGAGUUCUUUGCAAGUGUUGAUUUAUACUCAUUUCGUCACUCUGUGAGUGUCCUUUAGAUGUUGGAUGUGACUCACCAGCAAUUCUGUCAAUGGGCCAUAUAUCUUCAAAACUGCAGGCGCUUCUUGAAAUUUUUAAAUCCCUUGGGUAAUGAACUCGACAUUUGAUUCUAUUACCAAACUUAUAACUGUUGUUAGAUGCAUCUUCUUCGUAUUCUCUUUGUACAAACUUAAGGCUCUGAUUCAUGGAUGCAGGGAAGCUACACAAGUGCGCUGUCUCAUUUUUGUUGAAAGAAUUAUAACAGCUAAAGUAAUUGAAAGAAUUAUGAAGAAAAUGACACGGUUUUCACAUUUCUCAAUAGCGUAUUUGACUGGAACAAACACAUCCGUUGACGCACUGACACCAAAAGUGCAAAAAGAAACCUUGAGAUCUUUUCUCUCCGGGAAGGUACUUACAUGUACAUCUCAUUAUAUUUGACAUAAAUACUUUCUUGUGAGUCCCUUAACUAGUUGGAGCUUAAUAUUAUAUUUUCCCCUAUUCUGUUAUGAUCACAGGUCAAUUUAUUAUUUGCCACUGAUGUGGUUGAGGAGGGAAUUGAUGUGCCACACUGUUCCUCUGUAAUACGAUUUGAUUUACCAAAGACAGUUCGUAGUUAUGUCCAAUCUAGGGGACGAGCUCGUCAGUCUGAGUCUCAGUAUAUACUAAUGCUUGAGAGGUGAUGCAAUUUGCAUAUCUUACUGAUUUUUGCUUUCAUGAGUCCAUUUAUUCAAGUAUCUAACCUUCAUAUUGAUUUCAGAGGAAACAAGAAGCAGAGGGAACAGAUGUUUGAUAUCAUUAGGAGUGAAUAUUCUAUGACAGAAACAGCUAUAAAGAGAGACCCUGAUGAUUGUGUGGUGAAACCUUGUCUAGUGAAGGAAACUAAUGCAUAUUUUGUGGAAGCAACUGGAGCAUCAGUAACUGCAGAUUCUAGUGUCAGUCUCUUGACGAAAUAUUGUGAAAUGCUUCCUGGAGAUAAGUAUGGAUUCUCAUAUCUUAAACUUAAAUUAUGUGUUCAUUAAUGCAUCUUUUUUAUGUGGCACCAAUUAAGUUAUGGUUAACACUGGAUUCUAGGAUCCCUAUUAGAUUAUAACGAGCUUUGUUCUGUUACCUUCCCAGAGCUGUUUGGAAACGAACUAAUCGUUUUGGAAGGAUAUAGAAAUUAAUCCUGGAACAGAUGGGAUUGUUUUAUACUUGAGUGCAAGCAGGAUCUAGACUAAAACACUAUUAUCAUCAAUCACUGUCAACCUUCAAUUUCCUCAUUCAAUCUUUGCUUCAAAAUUUUGUAUUAGCUAUUGGCUUCCAAUAUCUGGCUCAGUGCUUUCUGCCUCGCACGUGAACCCUAAGCUCAGUAAGUUAUGCAUAGGACUGUCAUAUACAAAGUCCUAUCAACUUAGCUAGUGAAGUGAGGUUUGUAUAUGGGUCUUAAGUUGGAUAUAGUCUAGUUACGAGCCUGUUUGGCCAAACGACUAAAAACUGCUUAUUUUGGGAAGAACUUUUAUUAAAAUAGCUUUUUAGAUUAGUAUUCUUGAAAAAAAAAAGAGUUUGUGUUUGUCUCAUUAAUUUGGAAAGUGCUUUUGAUAAGGAGAUUGUGUUUGACUAGUCUUUUUAAAAAGUGUUUUUGAUUUUCACAUUACAAAAAAGGACAAGCAUAAUACACGUUUCCUAUUAAGAUUAUUUUGUAUAGAGAAAUUAUUUUAAAUAGUUAUUAUGAAAGACUUUAACUAAGUUUUUACUUUUAUCUAAUUAAAAAUUAUAAGUACAUAUUAAAAUUUUCUGUCAAUAUAAUGCAUUGAUUAAUAUAAAUUUUAAAAUCAUUCCACAAAUUAAAUCACUAUAUAUGAGUAAUAGGGUUGCUUAAAGCACAAAAAAAAAAAAAAAAGCGUCCUCUUUUGGACAAGAAAUGAGUUAUAUCUACGGGAUAAAAUAUAUGAAAAUACAACUUGGUAACAAGAAUAUGAAGUAACUAUACUUUUACUUUUAUCAUUCAAAUAUAUCUCAUUAAAAGAAAAAGAAUUGUUACGCGUAGUAAUCAAACAGGUUGUUUUAUAACUAGAAAUUGAAAAAGGGACAAAUAUAUUUCCAAACUAUGAUAAAUGGUACAUAUAUACCCUCCGUCAUACAUUGGGUACACAUAUGUCCGUAUCGUUAAUGAAAUGGUAUGUAUAUGCCCCUCACAAUAACCGUAGGGACAUAUGUGUACCCAAAGUAUGAUAGAGGGUGUAUACGUACCAUUUAUCAUAAUUUUGGGGUAUAUUUGUCCAUUUUUCAUUAUAAUUUUUUUUAUCUCAAAUAAUUAACCCAAACCCACUACUGGACCCAAUAAAGCCAUCGAACUCGAUUUUAAACCAACUCGACCCGACCAUUAUUUUUUGUUCCAAAUCCGAUACUUCCUUUGUUUUUCUCUUAAACGUGAACCCAAUCAAAUUACAAUGAUUGGUCGUUGCUUCUAGUUGGUGUUUACUGGUUGGAGGGAGUGGAGAUUAAUUCGGAGGUAGCCGAAGCUAGUGGUGCAGUGAUGGUUUGCCAGUGGGGUGUUUUUGGUUCGACGGAGACGGUGACUAUAUGGUGUUGACCGGUGUUGGGUAGUGUUUUCCCCACAGAAUUUUGCUGGAAAUUGAAAUGUGAUGAGUUCAAUUUAUUUGGUAUUGUUUUUGAGUGUUAUGAGUUAAUAGUUUUUUUUUUAAAAUUGGUAGCAGUAGGUGUUACUGUAUUGUGUGUGUAUAUCGUUAUAGGGGUGGAAAAAACGCGUAUGCUAGAUAGAUGUCUCUUGGGUUUUAAUUGGGACCGGGUCCGCUAGUGGGUUUUUUCGGUUGGAUAGUGGGUUUGGGUUAAUUAUUUGGAAUAAAAAAAUUAAAUUGGAAAAGGGACAAAUAUACCCUCAAAAUAUGAUAAAUGGUGCGUAUAUACCCCCGUCAUACUUUUGGCACACAUAUGCCUCUACUGUUAGUGCGAGGGACCUACAUGUACCAAUUCAUUAACCAUAGGGGGCAUUAUGUGUACCCAAAGUAUGACAGAGGGUAUAUACAUACCCAUUUAUCAUAGUUCGGGUAUAUUUAUCCCUUUUUCUAUUAGAAAUUAAUGAAUUUAUGAGGGGUAUACUUGGUAAAUAUGUAUUUAUGAUAGGGAUAAUUUUGUCUUGUCAAAAAUAAUUUUAUGCUUCUUCUUUUAUCAAGAAGCGGAAGUUUUUGGCUUCUUUCCAACCACAGAAAAACUCCUUUUGCUUCUACGCAAAAGCCCUUCUACUUAUUGGCCUAACACCUCAAAUUCCCAAAGAAAUGCUUCUCUUCAAAUUGGUGCUACUGGUCUCCAAACCGAUGGCUAAACAGGCUCUACAUCUCAUAUUGGACCAUCAUCCUGCCAUGUUGUUGUUUUCAUUUGUUACAAAGCUUCCCGAACUCAAGGGGGGUCAUAUUAUAACUAAUUCGUCUAAUAGAAGAGGACAAAAGAUGAAUAAGAAAAAAGCUGGGGAAAAACACCGAGGAAAAAUAAUAUGGGAGAAUCGUAGUAGCUAAGUUGGUUUGCUAUCUGAACUUUCACCUUGUUGGUGAGGGUUCAAUUCCCCACCUUGUAAUCCCCUUCCCCUACCCUAACUUUAUGUUAUAAAGAAAGGAAUAAAAAAGAAAAAUAACAGCAAAUCAGUGGUGAUUACACAACGAAAAAUACAGCUUGUGUGCGAAAAACAAGUUUUCUGCUUAUCUACUUUACAACCAUUAGGCUUCGUUAAGAUGUGUAUUGCUAAUCUGAGAAAGGAAAAAAGAAUAGAGAAAGUAACUUAAAAGAAAACUAUAACAGUAAAUCAGUGUCUGUGUAAUAAUGAAAAAGAGAGUAUUGGGUUGUAGCUCCAGACUACUGUGUGCUAAUGUUGUACCGCUAAAGUUUAACUACAACAUUAAUUUUGAUCCUCUUAUUUGCUGUACUAAAUUAUCUAACAGAUUUCAUUGUCAUGUUCCUACCAUCUAGUGGAGCCCACAUUUCCUGAACUGGUCAAGGUGGAUCAUACACCUUUAGUCAUAUCCAUAUGCACAAUACAAUCAAAAGUCUAGUACAAAUUCACCAGCUUCCAGUGUCUGUCUCCUUCUCUCUGCUGUGCUGAAUUUUUUUCCCUUACCUCUUCAAAAUUCAAUUACUGGAUUCUCUGCAAAUAACUUUAUGGGUCUACAUUAUGUAGACACUAGUUCACCAAAAAGGUGUUAUAUUUUCAGACUGGGUGGCAUAGUUGCUCUCUGAAUUAAGCAUACUGCAAAAAUAUGUUUCAUAUUUCACUAAAUAUGUUUCAUAUAUAAAAUGUAAGGGCAGUAGGAAUAGUUGAAGUCCUAUACCCAAACUCUCCUAGACACUCUCUCUCCUACUGUCUAGGGAGGUAGACUCGCCCGAUCCGGUCGGCACCGGAAACUUUCUCUUCUUCUUCCCCAGUUAUUACCUCAUGUGAUAACUACCAAACCAUACCAUUUUCUUUAUCUACAACCUCAGAUAUGGAUAACGACACAACUUUCUUUGCAAUGGGCUUCAAAUCGUACGACAUCUUGAGGAGUCUCUCCCGAAUGGAAACAUGGUAUGACUGGACAGAGUGUGGAAGAAACAUGAUGAGCAGAUCCAGUUUCAGUCAGAAAACGAUGGAGUGGAUCUGCACUUUUCUCAAAGAAGCCUCAAAGGAAAAGGGAAAUGUUGUUCGCGGAUGGAGAAGAAGAACUUUCAUCGCAAUUUUUCUUUGCUAAAAAACUUUAAUGAUAAAGGGAGAUACAUCAGUACUAUAAGCUUAAAGGGGAAAAACAGAGCAGUACUUAUUAUUCCGGAAAUAGCAUUCAAUGCUGGUUGGUGGGAUUUGGCCAUUAAAAUCAAGAGAUUCAUUCAUUACAAAGACACAAAGAAAACAAACUGUAGAUCUCAGAUUGACAGAUGAAGAGAUCCCUUAUGCUGAAACUGUGGGAAGAAGAAAAUGGAUCUCCGGAGAAAUAUGCUGUGAAACUGUCGGAAGAAGUAAAUGGAUCUCCAGAGAAAUUGAUGCAGCUGUCAUUAAUCAUUAAGGAAAGGGGAAACAUCAUCCACAUUGAAGGAGGCAUCAACCCAUCGCAAACUAUUCUAUUGCAAAUCUAUGGUCACUUCAACUUCACUGGUUCUGACGUUCCGACUCUAUGGAGGAUACGCAGGUGGGCAAGCACAAAUUGGAACCAGAACCAUGGGCUAAACAUCUACAAAAUGGGUAAUAAUAGCUUCCUUUUUCGAGUUCUCUUCUAUACAUGCGGCAGAACAUAUCCUGAAGGGUAGUUAGGCAUGGAAGAAACAGAGAUUAAACUUACAAUGGUGGACUCCCAAUGUUGAUGCAAUCCAAGACAGGACAGUGUUAAACAAUUGUGGAUCAGGCUGGUUGAAUUACCCCUAAAUGUAUGGUUUCACAAUGCCUUAUGGUAGUCCGGGAUUUCUGCGGAGGUUGGAUAAGGAAGGAGGAGGAGACAGAACUGCGGAAUCAUUUAGAGUGGGCAAGAGUCUUGGUAAAGGGGGGAGAAAGCCGUAUCCCAAAGGAAGUGAAGAUUGAAUGUGAAGGAGUUGGAUAUGUGAUCCAAAUCUGGGACGAGACGCUGACGAGAUUCCAUGCCAGAGAAGACAAAGUUGAGGUCGCAACUGGAGAAUGUCAAAAAACUUCAACCCAGACGUUUAUUUGGUGUCCUCUACACCUGUCAGUACAGUGGGGCACGUGGGCUGCUCAAAGUUUUAUGAAAUCCCUUUAUUGACACAUGACCCUCCAGUCCACUAAAGGGAACAGGUACAGGAAAAAGGAGCUUGGGCUUUGACCCUUUGACCGAAUCUUUUAAUGAAGUCCCUCUUUUAUUAUCUUCAAAGCCCAACGAUCCAUUUAGAGCUGAAAUUGAAGCGAUCUUUAACAAGAACCUGGUGAAUGAAACACAAGACUCUCUACCAGGAAAAUAUGAAGGUGCAUGCAUGAAUGUCGAAAUGGAAGUAGUACAACCAGAAGAUGAUGCCAUGUCAAUUAUUCAUAUUGAAGAUGAACUAACAAAGGAAGAGCUCGCAGGGGAUUGUUUACAAUUGGAAGGAAAAUAUUUUACCUCUCAAUUUUACGGAAGAAGAAAACCCCAUAGAAUCGGCCAGAGCAGUUCCUAUUUGGGCAAAUCAGAACAUCAUCAAACUGAAUAAAGAGUUUGGAGUACACUUCCAAGGGUGUGAAGAGGUGGCUCUAAACCUUUUCAUGAUAAUUGACGGGAAGAGACAAGCAACAAUGGAAGCCCCCGGGGCUUUAGUUCAAGUGACUCCCAAAAAGAAGAUUUCAAAGGAGUUAAAAAAAGAUGGAACCAACUAGUAACUUUUUCGAUUUUGGGAAAAAAAAGAGGGGGGGGGGGGGGGGGGGGGGUAAUAGGACCCCCGCAAAGUUCAGUAUGCUCAACUGGUAAUCCGGUCAAACUUCAGGUAUUUUUGUGAGUAUUCUCCCAUAUUUUUAUUUAGACCUUUGUAAUUGAAUUAUACAUGGUAGCAUUUUUUUUAUAAAUAUCUUUUUGUUCCUUGUGAAAUGACUAUCAAGGGUAUUUCGAUAAUUUUAUGGUGCAGUAAAUAUUUCGAAAUCGACGUAUGUCUCCUCAACUUAUAUAUUUGAAACUUUCAAAUGAGANNNNNNNNNNNNNNNNNNNNNNNNNNNNNNNNNNNNNNNNNNNNNNNNNNNNNNNNNNNNNNNNNNNNNNNNNNNNNNNNNNNNNNNNNNNNNNNNNNNNNNNNNNNNNNNNNNNNNNNNNNNNNNNNNNNNGGGGCGGAUUAACAUAAUUUCAUGGAACGUGAGGGGCCUCAAUGAUCCUGUGAAGAGGCUGCGAAUCAAGAAUAUGAUCCAUAAAUGGAGGGCCAAUGUCUAUUGUCUUCAAGAAUAAAAAAUAAGAGGGGAUAUGGGCAAACAGAAGGGUUAAAUAUGCGCAAUUAGAUGCAAGACGUACGUAAGGGGGAAAUAUUAUACUUUGGUCCAACAGCAUUCAGGAGAGUGAAGUAUGUGAGGUGGGGGCUUAUCAUAUUACCUGCAAAUUUACAGGCAUCACUCAGGAUUUCAAUUGACAUUUAUCCAGGUGUAUAUGCCCCAAACAACAGAGAAGAAAGGGAGGAAGAAUGGUGGGAACUGGCGGCAGUUAGGUGUCUAUUUAAUGGUCCUUGGGUGGUUACGGGGGAUUUUAAUGUUGUAAGAUAUCCAUCAGAGAAACAGAAUUGUAUCAGAUUCACAAAGGUCAUGGAAGAGAUUACUGAAUUUAUAAGGACAUGGAAUUAGAAGACCCACCCCUCAUGGGUGGCACUUUCACAUGGAGAAGAAGGGACAAACAUGAAGUAGCUGCAAGGCUUGAUAGAUUUCUAUAUCCAGAGGAGUGAGAAACAUCCUUCAGGAAUAUAAAGCAGUCUGUGAUGCCUAGGGUCACAUCAGAUCAUAGUCCUAUGUUGUUGGAAUGUGGAAAUUGGGACAGAACUCAAUCUUACUUUAAAUUUGAAAAUUGGUGGAUACAAACUGAAAAUUUCAAAGAUAAAGUGAAGAUGUGGUGGGAAUCUGAGAACUUUAUAGGAAGGCCCAGUUAUAUCCUGGCUUGUAAAUUGAAGCACCUAAAAGGGAAGCUAAAGGAUGGAGCAAGUCUGUACAGGGAAACUAGGGCUUAUAGAAGAAGAAUAUCCUUAAUCAGCUUUCUGAUUUGAAUAUGAUCUAGGAACACAGAAGCCUAUUAGAUGGCGAAUCCUACUUGAGAUCUGUACUUGCUGUGGAAUUUGAGGAGAUUGCUAAAAGCGAAGAAGUGGUGGAGGCAAAGGUCUAGGGCCUUAUGGUUGAAGGAAGGUGACAUGAGCACCAAGUUCUUUCAUAGAACUGUUAACUGUCACAAGAGAUACAGUACAUGUUUUUGAGAAGACAAGAGAUACAAUACAUUGAUAGUUUUUUUGAUCAAUGGUGUUGGUGUGAAGGAACCAGCAGUAAUCACAGAAGAAAUUACAAGCUAUUACCAAAUGCUCUACAAAGAGAGAGGAUUUGGAGGCCUCAAUUUAAUCCUAGAGAACAACUUAUUAUCAGUGAUGAAGAUAAUAUUACUCUCCAAAGUCAAUUUUAAGAACAGGAGAUAAAAGAGACUGUUUGUCGGUGCAGGAGAUACAGUGUUGGGAUGUAAUUACAGAAUUUUCAUGAUCAAGGCUAUUUUGAAAAAAGUUUCAAUGCAACUUUUAUAGCCUUGAUCCCAAAGAAGGUUGGUGCCUCAGAACUAAAGGAUUUCAGGCUUAUAAGUCUCAUGGGCAGCAUCUACAAAAUUAUCUCCAAGAUUUUGACAGAAAGACUCGAGAAAGUUAUGCAUAAACUGGUGGAUGCACAUCAAAUGACAUUUAUUUAAGGAAUACAAAUUAUGAAUGCCAUUAUGAUUGCGAAUGAGUGUGUGGAUGUCAGAAACAUAUCCAAAAUCCCAGGAAUUCUAUGCAAAUUAGACAUUGAAAAGGCUUAUGAUCACUUAAAUUGGGAUUUCCUUUGGAAAACCUUGGAGAACAUGGGAUUUGGCUCUGUUUGGAUAGGCUAGCUGAGAUUUAGUAUUUGUGCAGUGAAGUUUUCAGUGUUGAAAUGGCACCUCAAUUGGUUUCUUUCCAUUUGAGAGAGGUUUGAGGCAAGGGGAUCCUCUCUCCCCCUUUUGUUCAGCUUGGCAAUGGGUGGGCUCUGUGAUAUGCUAAAGACAGUCCAGUCAAACAAUUGUAUCAGGAGUUUUAAGCUAAAUGAAAAUGAUCCUCUGAGUUUAUCCAUCUCACACUUACAGUACUUGGAUGACACUUUGGUGUUUUGUGGUGCAGAUGAAGAUCAGCUGAAGUAUUUGAGGAUCAUUUUCAUCCGUUUUGAAGCUAUUUCAGGACUACAUAUUAACUGGGGAAAGAGGUUUGUUUACCCUGUAAAUGAAGUUACAAACACGAGAGGUCUGGUGGAUACCCUAGGUGGUAGUUUAGGUGAGCUACCUACUACGUAUCUAGGGAUGCCCUUGGGGGGAAAAGAGCAAGUCCAAAAAUAUUUGGAAUUCAGUGGCGGAGAAGUGCGAGAAGAAACUGUAUAACUGGAAGAGCCAAUAUCUUUCCCUGGGUGGUAGAGUGACCUCAUAAAUAGUGUCCUGGAUGCUUUACCUACUUACAUGAUGUCUCUCUUCUCCAUCCCCGGGAAUGUGAUCAAGAAACUUGACUCUAUUAGAUUAAAUUUCCUGUGUCAAGGUAAUGGAGAGGAAGAAAAGAAAUAUCAUCUAGUCAAAUGGGAUGAAGUCAUCACUAGCAAAAGAGUAGGGGGGCUGGCAUAAGGAAUAUAAAAGUUCAAAACCAGAGCCUACUUAUGAAAUGGUUGUGGGGAUUUGCAUCAGAUGAACAAGGUUUGUGGAGAGAAGCUAUAACUUCCAGAUAUGGCAUGGAAGAUCACCGGAGUACCAAGACAAAUAAUAAUCCCUUUGGGGUUGGUGUGUGGGGAUCCAUCAGAAACAAAUGGCCUAAAUUAUAGGGAAGUUCCAAGAUUGUUCUAGGAAAUGGAAGGAAAACCUCCUUUUGGCGCAUGAUGUGUGGGUGGGUCAACAGACUUUGAAGCAACAGUUUCUACUAUCUACAAUCUCAAUAACAGAAAUGGGCUACAAUUUUUGAUGAUAGUGAUAUACAUGGCUGGAAUCUCACCUUCAGAAGAUUGUUCAAUGACUGGGAAGUUGAUUUCUUGACAGAAUUCUACAAAAACAUUGUAACAAUUUAAGAAUCUAAAUGCUAAAGCAGAUAUUUUAUUGUGGAAAGAGAUGGAGAAAGGAACCUUCACUGUGAAGUCAUAUUAUAGACUUCUGGACAGUCCUACAGAUACUCAUGGGAGGUGGCCUUGGAAAAUGAUUUUGGAGAGUUAAAAUACCUUUCAAGGUGAAUUGUUUCAUUUGGUUUGUGUCUAGGCAAGCUGUUUUAACACAAGACAAACUUAAGAAAAGGGGGAGGCAUUUGUGCUCUACAUGUUUUAUUUAUUUAUUUAUUUAUUGUGAAUCUGAAACAGAGACAAGAAACCAUCUUUUUUACAUUGCAAGGUGACAACACAACUUUGGCAGAUUUUGCUAAAUCUUAGGGGUAUUAGUUGGACCAUGCCAAGGAACACUUCAGGUAUGUUAGCCUGUUGGAACAAUGAUGGGAAUAUGUCAGAACAUAAGGAGUGAUGGAAGAUUGUCCCUGCUUGCAUCUGGUGAAUGAUGUGGAAGGGAAGGAACCAGAGAUGUUUUGCAAACAAAAGCAUCCCUUCCAAAGUUUGAAGAUAAACUGCCUUCUGACUUUUUAUUUUUGGUGUAUAUAUACCCUACCGAAUGAGGUGGAGGAGAUUACGAACAUCUUAGAUAGUUGCAGAGGGCAUAGGUGAUAAGAACUUUUUGGCAUUCCCUCUAUAUUUCGUAAUUACUACUGAAACACACUAUGUGGUGAGUUUCUUAUCUAUAAAAAAAUGUUGACUUUCUCGAAAAGAAAUUAAAAUGUAAGGAAAGUAUCUUUAUCUGUUUGUUGCUAAACAUGAUAAUUGUUUUUCUCGACAGGUUCUUCUCUCCAAAGCCAAUGUUUGAGUACAUUUUGUCUGGAGAGUUCUAUCGGUGUAUUUUGACAUUACCUCCGAAUGCAGCUUUCCAAACAGUUGUUGGUCCAGAAGGCAGGAGUACUCAAUUAUCAAGACAGCUUGUCUGCUUGGAUGCUUGUAAGAAGCUGCACCAGUUAGGCGCUCUCAACGAUCAUCUUCUACCUUUCAAUGAAAAGCCUUCCCAAAGUGAUUCUGUUGUGCAGGACAAAAAAUCAGGGGCAGGUAAACUGGAACAAGCUUUUAACUUUUGACCUCUGUCUUCUCUGCUUUUGAGUUCAAUUGCACUGUGGCAGCACUUAACGGGACUAGGGGCUCUCUGUAAUGCACUUGACAUGGUGCUUUAAUGAAUUCUCCUUUAUCAAGUUGUUAAACAUAAGCUGACAAUUUUUUUUCUCUACGAAGUAAGGGUAAGGUCUGCGUACACUCUACCCUCCCUACACCCCAUUUAUGGGAGUACGCUGGGUAUGUUAUUGUUUAUUGAAAAGUGAGCGAACUUCCGCCAUUCUUAGGACAACAUUUCUAGCGACAACAACUCAUGGGUUCUUAAAGUAUUUGUAAAAAGGCGAGAUGUUUUAAUGAAUAACAGAAUACAAGAUACAUCUUUUAUAGGUGGGAAAAACAAUAGGCUGAUAUUGUCCAAUUGUGGGACAAAUAGGCUGAUAUUUAAGUGUUUGGCAAACUCAAAAAAGUUCUUUGAAUCCAAGUGCUUUUAAAUCGAAAUAAGCUAAACAAGCCAAAAGUCAUAAGUUGGUCUUAAAAGAACUAAGGGUUUAGCUUGUUAGUUUGCCUUUUUAUCCCCUAUAAUUUUUUCUAUAUCCCAAAUACCCUUCCCUAGUCCUGGACGCUCAACUGUUUUCUUUUUCUCAAUUCGUCCAACUCUCGUUGUUACUUACAUUUUUGUCACGUCCCAAAUCUGGCUCCUAGGCCAUGACAGGGUAACCAAUGAGUGACUACCCCACUACGCGAAACAUCUAUGCUAAAUCAUGCGGAUAAUGUGCAAAUAUAAGAGAGAACUACUAAAGUUGUCUUAUCAUAAAUAGAUGUGGAAGUAAAAUACGAGUAUAGGCCCACUAGUCUAAGUCAUGGAGCACUAGAAUCUAAGUUCAACUGGUUUGAGACACAGUAUAGAAGAAACGAAAUAGACUGAAAGUAAAUGAUAGGAUCUGAAGUUGUCUCCACGCUCUAUUGGUGGCUCACCUCACCUGGAUAGAACUGGCUUCAAGAUGGAGUCACUGAUCAACAAUGGGAUCUCCACCUACUACCGUGGGCACAUGCAGUAACUGUGAGUCUGAAAGACCCAUCAAGAUCAUCGACUUGCUCUCCUAGCCCCCCCUUUGGAUAAGUCUUUAGAAAUCACUGGUAAUACAUAAAUGUACAACAUGAACAAAAAAAAGGGCAGCCUGGUGCAUUAAGCUCCCGCUAUGCACAGGAUCUGGGGAAGGGCCGAUCACAAGGAACAUGAACAAAAAAAGUAUAGAUAAAUAGCAUAUAAGUAAAGCAAAUGAAUCUGAGAUCAAUAGGUAAAAGCAUGAUAACACUGAAAACUGAUACCUGCUCAGGAGAUGGAAUAUUUUUUGUCAUGUUUUACCCAGUCUUCAGGAGCGUUAGUCACAUGGCUACCCACCUAUAGCAGUCCAUGGACUACACAUCUUGCUCAAGUCUCUGUAAUACUAACAACUACUAUGGCUAUUGGCAUCAUCAUGCCCAGGCAGCGUGUGUGCUACUGACAUAUAGUGAUAAAGCAUGCUAAACAACUAAGAAAUUACCACAGAGUUACAAUAAAACUUCUGAGAGAUAAAUGACUUAUAAGGCAAGCUAAAAAAUUAAAUAAUGUCAUAACAAGAUAAUAGACUUAUGAAAAAAAAACGUUAAAGUAUGUUAAACAACUAAAGAAUAUCAUAUCAUAUCUUUGAAUCUGCUAGAAGUAUCAAAUUAUGUGAAAAUAUAUACUAGAACCCUCACGGUCAACUCUAGAUACUUUGAAACUCAGCAGCCUAAUUCAUGCUUGCCCACUCCCACGAACAAUAUGGUUUAAAUGCAUACAAACAACACACAUACCAUGCUCUGAAGGAAAAGCAAAAAUACUAACUAUUCAUUUGGUAGAGUGCAUUAAAAGAAUAAUGCAUGAAUUAGCUUUGCGUAUUAUUAAUGUCUUGUUUGGUACACUUUCUCAACUUAUGUAUGACUAAUGCUUGCAUUAGUUAUACUCUCUAUUUGGUAUUAAGUGUGUGUAACUAAUUCUUCAAAAUCCAUGCUAUUAGUAAUGCAAUGGAUUCUAAUGCAUGCAUUAGCAUGGUUAGAGACAUAGUUGCCCCUCAAAACCUUUUCAUAUCGUUUCUACUAUAUUUGUAGAGUGUAUUUUUGUAAACAAAUACUUUAUCAAAAAGAAAAUAUGCAAUGCAUAUUAUUUUUGAUACACCAAAUCAAACACCGCAUAAGAAAAAUCUCAGCAUAACUAAUGCAAGCAUAACAAAUACUAGCAUUACUUAUGCAAAUAUUACUAAUACAUCAUAUUUUGCACUAUUCGUAUUCACCCCUAAGUUGCUCGGACUCAGGUGCGGGUGUCGGACAUGGGUGCGGAUCCGAGUGUCGGAUCGUUCAUGAUUGAAUUUUUUAAGAUUCGGGGAUAUGGAUCUGGAUACGGAUACGGGUGCGGGGACUCGGCAAAAAAAAAAUUAAAAAUUUAUACAUAUAGUUACAAAAAUAAUUUUAUUUAAACACAAUUUAAUAUAAUUAUAGCUAUAAAAAAUAUUAGAUUAGAUGCAUCAAAAAUAAUAUUUGAAUCAAUGUAAUAAUAUUAUUUGUUAGUUAAUAUAGAAUUUAUAAUGUACUUUCUCUGUUCCUUUUUAGUUGAAAGAAAUAAUUAUUUAAGAGUGUGAUUUGAUUAAUAUACUUAUUAAUUCGUUAGUCUUUAUUUAUUUAAAUGCUUCUUAAAUCUAAAAAGAGUAAUACAAAGGUUCAAGUUAAAAAAAGAAUAAUUAAUGUUUUUUUGCUUUUUCAAAAUUGACAAGUAUUUUAAAACCAAAAAAGAAUGAGAAUAUUAAUAUGUUUAAUAUAUACUUACGCUUGGUGGUGGAUCUAGGAUUUAAGGAUUGUGGUUGUUUAAAAAAUUAAAAGACUAAAAAAUAAAAAUAAAAAACACCUUAACAAGGUUCGAACGCAGGACGCCUCUUCAAUGGAGAAGCUUAAAAUCAACCUAAAUGUCAGUGCAUCCAAUCAACUUUUUGUUUUAGUAGGUGCUUUUAUAUGUUUUAUACUUAUUUUCGUAUAUUUUCUAUAAAAUUAUAUCUAUUUCGCAUCGAAUUUAAUAGGUGCCGGAACAACCCGAAAAUAUAUGUAGGUCCGCUCCUGCUUACACUAAAUUUAGUUUCAUUUAAAAAUGUGUGCUUUUAAAGCAUAUACAUUAAUUUUUAUUUUAUAAUUAAAUAAUUAUAAUGUCUAUCCUCAUUUUAUAAACUCUAAUUAAUAUACAAUGCUUACCUCAUUUAACUAAAAAAAUAAAUAGAUUAUUUAUUCUUAAUAAUAAAUAAUCAAUGAGACAACUAUUAACUAAGCUCUAAUUAUAAUAUUAUAAUAUGGAAUGUUAAUCUCAUUUAAUCAAAAUAAUAAUAAUAUUUAUUCUUUAUAAUAAAUAAUCAACGUGGCAGCCUAUCUGAGUGUUUGGUUUUAAUAACUCACCAUAUUUUAUCCUUAUCUCUCAUUUAGAGGACCAAAGGUCAAUUAAAAAAAAAAAAAUAAGCGUUGAUAUAGGACUCUGAGUCGUCUUCUUCAUCUUUGUUCCUCUGCUUCGUCUUCUCUCCUCCAUCUUCUUCCCCAACUACAAGUUUUGCAUUUUUUUUCCCAAUACAAUACAAAUCACUAUGUGCACAAUUUAGUAGUCCACCACGGCACCGAUAUUCUCGGCUUCAAAAACCUGUUACAUCGUGAACAAUACCUGCAACAACCAACACGAACAAGAAGAUUUACCAAGAAAAAAGCUUCAAACGAUACAAAAGGAUUGGUAUAAAUUACUAUGUAACAGCAAAAUUGAAGGUAUUUUAUUUUCGAGCUAUUCAAAUCUUUACUUUGAGAUAUCAAAAUUUCAAUUUUUCUCCCAAUUGUUGGUCAACACACCCGAUCUCGUUUGACCGGAUCCGACACAGAUCCCACACCCUUACUCGUGUCAGUGUCGUGUCGACACGGGUGCGGCACCGAAAUUGCCGAGUCCGAGCAACUUAGAUUCACCCUACCAAACGACCCCUAAGAGUUAAAGUCUCACUUGCCUCUAAAAUGACAACCUUCACUUGAAAUGCUCAAACUGCUCCUAUUGAUCUUCAAAGUCCUCUAUCUAUUAGCAUUGAUCGACAAUGUUCUUGAUGCCACACGUACUUACAUGAUGUUCUUAUUUCCCAUUCCUAAGAGUGUUAUUGAGGGACUGGAUGUUUUGAGAAGGAACUUCCUUUGGCAGGGUAACAGUGACAGUAAGAAGUUCCAUCUGGUUAAACGGGAGGCACUUAUAGGGAGCAAAAAGGCAAGGGGAUUGGGAAUAAGGAAUUUGAAAGAACAUAAUCAAAGCCUUUUGCUGAAAGGGCUUGGAGAUUCGCUUCUAAUGAAAAAUCCUUGUUGAAAGAGGAUAUAAGUUUGAAAUAUGAAAGGGAAAGUAACUUGACUACUAAGCUUGUAACAAGUAUCUAUGGAACUACUCUAUGGAACUCUAUCAGGGAUCAAUGACCAAAACUAAAAGGAAAUUGCAGAUUAAAGGUUGGAAAUGGCAUGAAGACUUCCUUUGGGAAGACAAUUGGAAAGAACAAGGUACCUUGAAAUUUUUAAUCCCAGAUAUAUACAUCAAAAUGCUACAGUGGAAGAGGUAUGGUCCAAUCAGGGGUGAAAUUUGAGGUUGAGAAGACUUCUAAAUGACUUGGGAGAUUCAGAGGUUAGCUGAUUUCUACAAGACAUUAGAGCAAUUCAAAGGACCAUCUGAUGUUGAAGACUGCCUAAUCUGGCAAAAUCACAAUCAAGGCAAGUUUUCUGUUAAGGAGGCAUAUAGGCAUUUUAACAUUUCCAGAAACCCGACUGAUCACUGGCUCUGAAAGUCUCUUCUUUUGUGUGGCUGCUAGCUAAACAGGUAGUUCUAACUCAGGAGAAUCUCAUGAAAAAAGGUAUUCAUCUUUGUCCAAGAUGCUUCUUAUGUGGUGAAGAAGUAAAGACUGUUAGGCACCUCUUCAUAAACCCAGAUUACUUAUCAGUUAUGGAGUUUAUUCAUCAAUAUCUAAGGGUUAUCUUGGAUUACGCCUGGGAGCAUUGUACAAGUCCUGGAAAUGUGGAAUAGUUAUGGAAACCUUUCUGGUCACAAAAAGAGAUGGAGAAUUCUACCGGCUUGCAUCUGUUGGUCGGUAUGGAGAGUAAGGAACCCUAGACGUUUUGAUAAAUGUAACUCAAUUUAGAAGGUAAAGAUGAACUGCCUUGCUUUAUUCGUUUUUUGGUUUAAACAAGAGUAUACGGAGGAUCUAGAAUCUUUUUUGGAUGUCUUAGGUUCUAUGAAAAAAAGAUUUUAUUUUGGAUGUCUUAGGUUCUAUAUACCACUAUGUGGGGUAUACUGGGUAUGUUGUUGUUGUUAGGUUCUAUAUAAGCUCUUAUAUAGGAUUGAAGAUCUUCUUGACACUCCGUUAUAACUAUGGAAACCUGUAACUCAUUGUGGCAGGCCUUAUUUUUGGAUAUAUAUACUAGUGUUACCUUUAUAAAAAAAGUCUUAUUCCACUCACCAAAACCCUCAUAUUACUCUAUUUCCAAAUAACUCACAUGAUUGCCAAAGGGGACAUACUACAAUCCUUGACUUCAUCUCUCCCUUAUUUGAGUCUAGCUUUGCAACUCUUCCUUCACUAUUUCUAGUAUUACCCAUUGUUUCCCGUACAGAUUAAAGAUCACCAGCUAUAAUUGUUUAACCACUCAACAAUGUAAUAGAAGAUAGUCUACAUCUCCACCUGAGCUUUUGUACAUAAAACACCAAUUGACACAGGUGAUCCUCUUCCUCAAAUUUUUCGUUGUCAAGAUACAUAAUAGGAAAAAAAAAGUUCCUCUCACCAGUAAGCUCUUGUAAAAAGAACUAUCAGUAAAGAAGCCGUUUUUGCUCUCCGCCCACAUCCAUACAUCCCUAGUAUUGUCAGGUGUGUCCAGACCAUAUAAUGUCUCAAUCAACUUGUGAAAUUCUCCGAUCUCCCAAUUCUGCAAGUUUUGUAGGUUUCUUUUGAAUCUUAAGUCCCAUGAAUUACCCCCUCAUGUGACGUACAAAUUUGUUGGACUAAAUCUAUCUUUAGCAAGACACAACAUAAAUGUUUGCGCAGGCUUCCUUCAACUCGUUCUCUCCGCAACUUAUGCGCCCAAAAACUAAUUUUGCUUCCAUAGCUAACCUUACAAGAUAUGUGUCCGUUUAAGUCAUCCCACCCUUUCAUAGUACUCCUCUAUACGUCACACCCAAAUAGAGUUGUGAUGUUUCAGGUUCUUCAUCCACCUUCCAUAACCCCACAUUUCUCCGAUAUCACCCUACUCGAAAAAACAUUCUUCUCCACUCAAAUCUCCCUAUCACGUCCCUAGCCAAGAUUUAUUAAGCACCUUAAUAUCUUUCACUCCGAACCCCAAGCCCCCUUCCUUUCUUGCACCAUCCGUUGUGUCCCAUAAAAAGUUUCUUUAGAGUCUUUUCAACCCUUCAGCCAUUUUUUUAGGAACUUUCAAAAGUGACAUGAAAUAUGUAGGUAUACUAGAAAGUGUGCUUUUGAUCACUACUUCCUUCCCCCAUUUCGACAAGUACCUCUUUGGCCAUCCGGCUAACUGCUUCUUUACUCUCUCAAUCACUGGAUUCCACAUUGCAAGAUCUUUGUUUGAAGCACCUUACAGUAAUUUCAAAUAGAUAGAUAGUCCGCAAAGUACCCACCUUACAAUCCUAUGCAAUCUCUUCAAUAUAUCCACUUCUUCCAUUAAUGUGAUCUCACAUUUUCUGUGAGUAAUCUUAAGGCCUGACACAAUCUAGAAUUAGAUAAGAAUCUGUCUUAAAUGAUCUAGCCAAGUCAUCUCUGCAUCACAAAAGACCAAGGUCUCAUUUGGAAAUAAAAAACGCGUGACUGUCACAUCACAAUGCCCCCUAAACUAAGCAUCAAACCCUUCAAUAGACUUGUAUGUACUGCCUUCAAUGGAUCUCCCAGAUUCUCAAAGAAGCUUCCCAGGACAGAUGGAAGACUAUAGACAAAGAGUAGGAGUUUUAUGAUACUAGAAAGUACAAUGUACACGGGAGGUAUAUGAGCUUUGUGUCUCUCACAGGAGAAUUCAGAGAAGUAAUUAUAGUCCCCGAGAUAGCCAUAAAUGCGGGAUGGAGUGAUAUCGCCCUUAAGAUUGACAACUUCAUUAAUAACUCUAUGCAACAGAGGUUUAAACAACCUCCAAAACAAACUAUUCCGUACGCCAAGGUGGUUGAACGCAGUAAAUGGCAACAACAGCACCCCAAGGUCAGCCAACUUGAUGGGAAGGGCCUACUAGGGAGAAGAAGUAUUAUUGGGUUCUUUGAAAGAUCUGAGACCCCUACACCAGCAGAUGUUAAAAGGUGGGCUACAUUAACCUGGAAAAAAGCCUUUGGGGUUAACGUUUAUGAAAUGACAGGACAUUUGUUCCUCUUUGAAUUCCCUAAUAGGCAUAUAGCUGAGCAGUAUUGCAAGGAGAAUGGGUUUAGAGAAACAAUAAGGCCCAACUAGAGUAGUGGAAUCCUCUAGUUGGGUGUGCGCCUUCUCAGCAAAGUCAAAAUUCAACAUGGACUAUAGCAAUGGGUCUUCCUUUGCACUUACAGAACAAAGACAUCUUCCAAGGGAUAGGUGAUAAGUGUGGAGGUUGGAAAAGAACAAAAGAGGAAACAAAGCUAAGGAAUCAUCUCAAAUAGGCUCGAAUUGAAAUCAAAGGUGACGGUAGUAAAAUACCCAAGGAGGUCUACAUAUCAAAAGAGGAAUACAACUUCAGAAUCCCGAUAUGGUUAGAGAAACCGACGACCUCCAAGAUUGAUCAAGACAUAGAACCGACGAGCUCACAUACAGUCAUGGCAGAAACGGUGAGGACAAGUGAAACUCUAGAAAUGGGCUUUGCACAAAGGUCUCUCCAGUGUUUUAUGAAGUCGUUGGAUAAUAACCUGAGGAAAAAAGCUUCAUUUGAAGUCAUUAAAAAUAUUGCAAAGCUGGCAGCUGUUGACUGGACAAAUCACGUGGACAUCAGUGAUUUUUCAAAAAAUAAAUCACGUGAUGGGCAUGUGAUUUCAUUAAACCUGGAAGAGGUGCAGUUGGGCCGACCUAACUCUGGGCUUAUCCAGAAGACUUCUGAAUUAAAUAACAAUUUGGCCCAAUCCAAUUUAGAGAUACAAAGCGUAAUUGGCAAAAGAACAGAGGAUCUCCAAACCAUCGAUGUAUCCUCAGAUAUAUCAGAAGACAUAAAAGGUCUGAACGACAUAGAGAUGAGCCAUGAAGAGACGGAUGGAGAAGCAAGACUGGAAGACAUAAAAAGGGUGGAUAAUUGCAAGGAAAAACAAAUUGCAAUCAGUAAUUCAAGCAAUUCAAGCAUGGGUGGAGAUAUUUGGGAGGUGGAGGAUGCUAUUCCAAUUACAAUAGAAUCAACGUCACAAAUCUUUGAGAAUGGGAAGGUCAUAUCAACUUGGGUGCGUCAGAAUAUCAUCAAGCUUGGCAAGAUGUUUGGAGCUGAUUUUAAAGGUAAUGAAGAGGAAACACUGAACUACUAAUGCAAAUAAACGCAUUCAAAUAGUUCAGAAAGUUGGAAUCAUCUUCAGAUAUCAAAAAGACCAGAUUCAAAGGAUCUAAUGAACUGAAACCUAAUCUCUUUAUGUUAAGUUCAAAAACAGUGAGGGUAGGAGCAAGGGGAAAGGGUGCAAACAGACUGAGAUAUAAAGCUCAAUCUAGUGUCGUGGAAUGUUAGGGGAUUAAAUGAUAGGGGAAGAGGAGGGUAGUGAAGAAUUGCAUAGAAAAGUGGAGGCCUGAUAUUAUUUGUCCACAAGAAACGAAGUUACAAGGAAACAUCCAAGAGUUAAUAAGACAAUUUUCUUUUUUUUUUAAGGGGGGGGGGGGGGGGGCUUUUUUUUUUUUUGGGGGGGGGGGGGGGGGGUAGAUGGUUCAAAUACUUAUGUCAAGAAGCAAGUGGAAUAAGAGAAGGGAUUACAAUGUUAUGGGAUAGUAGAGUUUGGAAGGGGGAGAUACUUGAAAUGGGGUUUCACACCUUAAUAUGCAGAUUUGAAGCAUUGCUCCAGAAUUUCAAUUAUCAUGUAACAGGGGUUUACGGACCAAAUUGCAAGUUAGAAAGAAGAGAAGUUUGGGAUGAAUUAGGGGAUGUUAAAGGUUUGAUAGAGGGUCCAUAGGUUCCCUUCAGAGAAAAUCCACUGCCAUGUUAGAAUUUUCAGACAUACUGAAGGAUCUAGAUCUGAUUGAUUUGCCACUUGAGGGGGGAAACUUCACUUGGUUCAAAGGAGACAUUCAUACUACAGCUUCCAGGAUAGACAGAAUCUUGUUUACUUCAGAAUGAAGUGAACAAUUCAGCAAGGUGAAGCAGACUGCUUUUCAGAGACUGAUAUCUGAUCAUGUUCCCCUAGCUCUACAAUGUGCUCCUUGGGAUCAAAACAAGUCAUAUUUCAAGUUCGAAAAAUUGGUGGCUAAAUACAGAAGGCUUCACAAAUAGAGUUAGUUCAUGGUGGAAUUCCUUCGCAUUCCAUGGGAAACCAAAUUAUAUACUAGUUUGCAAGCUUAAAGAUCUGAAAGAAAAACUUAAGGAAUGGAACAAAGAAGAGAGGUGAUUUGCAGAUCCAAAGAACCAACUUGCUUAAUAAAAUGGCACAUAUGGAUUCAUUAAUGGAGAAUAGAGCUCUAACAGAAGAUGAGGCAGCUUUGAAGACAACAACUUUUAUGGAGUAUGAAGAAUUAAUCAAAAAUGAAGAAAUAGCAUGGAGACAAUGGUCGAGAAUUUUAUGGUUGAAAGAAGGUGACAACAAUACUAAUUUUUUCCAUAUUUCUGCCAAUGCUCACAAAAGAAGCAAUUGCAUUGGCCAAUUAGAAGUCUAAGGGGAAUUAGUGAAGGAACCAGGCAGAGUUAAGGAGGAAAUAAUUCAGUUUUACUAGAAUUUGUACACUAGGCCAGAAAGGUGGAGACCAACAGGGAACAUGACAAACUGUCCAAAGAUUUCAGAAGUAGAAAAUAUACAAUUACAAGCUAAUUUGAGGAACAUGAGGUACAUAGUUGUUUGAAAAAAUGUGCUGCAGAUAAGGCCCUAAGGCUCCUGACCCAUGGUUACACCAUGGGAUUCUACAUCAAAUGCCAGGAUGUAAUAAAAAAUGACAUCAUGGAUGCCUUCCACAAUUUCUAUCAACAAGAAAUGUUUGGAGAUGGGUGCUCUUCCUUCUAUAUAUUUAGAGAUGCCAUUGGGGGCUAAAUCAAGAUCCGAAGAAAUCUGGGAGAAUGUCUUGGAGAAAUAUGAAAGAAAGUUGUCUAGAUGGAAAGCUCAAUAUCUAUCUUUGGGAGGCAGACUUACUUUGAUCAAUGUUGUUCUUAAUGCCCUCCUAACCUAUAUGAUGAUCUUAUUCUCCAUCCCAACAAGUGUGGUACAAAGGUUGGAUAAAAUCAGGGGAAGGUAACAAAAUCAGGGAAGGGUUUCACCUAGUGAAGUGGAAAGUUCUCAUAACCAGUAAAAAACAAGGAGGCCUGGGUAUCAAGAACUUGAAGAAUCAAUGUAAAGCACUGAAAAUGAAGUGGUUGUGGAGAUAUGCUCAAGAGUCACAAACUCUAUGGAAUAGGGUAAUCGGGCUGAAGUAUGGGGAUAUGAAUGGUUGGGUUACCAAAGAAGCAACCAAUCCUUAUAGUGUAACUGUUUGGAGGUCCAUCAGGAAUUAGUGGACUAUAAUGCAAAACCAUGUCGCCAUCAAAGUCUUUGAUGGUAACAAAACUGUCUUCUAGAAGGACCGGUGGUUAGGCAAUAAGAGUCUUACAGAGAUGUUCCCAGACUUGUUUGCUCUUGCUCAACAACAAGACAAAACUAUGGCUGAUAUGUGGUCUCCACAAGGUUAGGAUUUAAGCCUCAGACGAGACGAAACUUGAAUGAUUGGGAAAUCCCAAGAAUGGUGGAACUCCUUAAAGUUGUUGAAUCAUUUGAAGGUUUUAAAGAUUGAAAGGACAAACUUUGGUGGAAUAGACAUUACAAAGGGAUUUACGAGGUCAACUCUGGAUACAAGCUACUAAAUAAAACAACGCCACAAGCUAGCAGGUGGUCAUGGAAACAAAGCUGGAAAACCAAUACCCUCCUGAAGGUUGCGUGCUUCUCAUGGUUGUUAGCGAAGGAAGUUGUUUUAACACAUGAAAAUUUGAGGAAGAGGAAUAUAAUUUUAGUCACUCAUUGCUGUCUAUGUGGAGAGGCAGUUGAGACAGUGGGACAUUUAUUUUUGCAUUGCAAAUUCACUAGCCAACUAUGGAAGAUUUUCAUCAAUCUCAGAGGUAUACAAUGGGUAAUGCCUAGCAAGAUUGUUGACACUCUAUCUAGUUGGGAGGAAGCUGGGAAAGGAGCAAAGAACUUGAACUAUUGGAGAACUAUCCCAUCUUGUAUUUGGUGGACUGUUUGGAAGAAGAGAAAUGCUAGAAGUUUUGAAGACAAUGUAGAACACUUCAGAAGAUUAAGACAUACUGUAUUUUGCUUUUGAAUUUUUGGUGCACAAAGAACUCCCCUGUAGAGGUUGAAGAUAUCCUAGAAGUUUUAGAAUCUUGCUAGGAUGGGGAGCCUUUUCUUUUUUAUUUUUCUAUCUUCUUUUAGCUAGAUGCUCACUCUGUAAAGGGGUUUUAUGCACUACCUAAGUGCUGGUUUAUAAUACAAAUGUUACCUUCUCAAAAAUUAAAAGAAACAAUGUUGUAAGAGAACUAAAAUGAAUCUGUAUGGCCUCAGAGCCUUGUCUCCCACGCAAGGCAGAACUCACCACGACUUCCCUCACCUCUUCUUCUAUUUCCUUUCCAACUACUCCCUCAUCCCCUUCCUUAUUCGACUAAAUACCAACCCUCCCAUUUUUGUCCUCCAAGUAGUAUCUUCCUUGAAUGUUCAUAAAACCCCACAAUAGCCUUCUUUACUUCCUCCUCCCCUUAAAUACCUCUAUUUACUUCCAUGGGCUCAAUGAAGUUCCUCUUACUAUUUGGUACCACAACUUUAUGAAAUUUUUUGUAUUAGAAUCUCCCUCUUUUAGCCACAAUGUCCUCGAUUUUUGCCUCCAAGUAAUCUUUUGAGCAACCACUAAAUUGGCUAGCUCCCUUUUCACCUAAUCUUGAAGAGAAAUGUUAGAGUGGGUGAAAGUCCCAUAUUGGUUGGGGAAUGGACCAGUGGUCUGCUUAUAUGGACUUGGGCAAUCAUCCCCUUAUGAGCUAGGCUUUGGGGUUGAGUUAGGCCCAGGUGUCAUAUCCUUACAAUGGUAUCAGUGUCAAGUCCAUCCUUGUUUGGGCUCUCCGUCCAUGCUCUAGUUAAGGCAUGGGCCUGAAGGGGAUGUUUCAACUAUGGUAACUAAAUAUUCAAAUCCCUACAAAUAAGCUAUGUUAUCUAUAUACAUUAUUAUACAGAAACCAUACUUAUACUGAUGUGUGACUUAUUUUUAUUAUCUAGUAAAGUCACCAUUCGGUCAACUGGUUUAGAAUUUAAUAAAUAUUAUGUUCCCACAAAGCCACCACUCAAGAUUCCAAAUCCAUAAUCAAAAUCUUAUUUUCAUUGGAAAUUGAUGGUCAAUUGACCAUUUUCUCAAAUUCAGGCCUACAGCAAAAAACCCAUCAUCCUGUGAUUUUUUGUGUUAGAUUCAUCGCUGAAACAAUUUGUAGUGAUUAGAAAAGGUGUGUAACGAUAUGUUAAUGUUUCUCCUUGAUCCCCAAUGUUACCUUUUCCCCACAAGAUAUAUGCUCUCCACAUCUCCAAAUAUAAUUAAGAGUUUGCACUAGAUUUUCUUAUACAAACAACUGGGAUGAAUCUGGUAUCUUUAUAAUUGUUGCACCAAAGAAACGGUACACUUAAUUAUUUCACUGUUAAUUGUCUGAGACAUAUCUAACAGACUCAAAAUUGGAGAAAGUAGAAACUAGUUUCUACAAGUCACAAGUAAUGAUACAGACCUAACCAUGCGGGCAAGUUACCAUUGGUACCGCAUAUGCACAAAAUGAGGGGUCGGUUUCUUUAAUCUUUUUUUCUUUAAAUGCUAUUUAUGUGGAAAAGACCGUUUCGAAUUUUUUAUGCAGUUGAACAGAGAAAACUUUUACGGGUAGGGUAACCAACCGCUUAAUUUAAGUAGGUUGUGCUAUAGGUAAAUAUAUUUAUGUGAUAAAUCCUCAAAGCUUUUAAAGCCAGGAAAGUGAGCUUAAUUAUCAAUCUCAAGUUUUAAGGAUAAUUAACUGUCGACUCCAUGAAUCUAAAGGAUGCUGUGGAAUUUUCUAUUGAUGUGAUGUAAACAAAAGUGCUGCAGCAAAUUCAUCGUGCAAUCGUUCUUCAUGCCUUCUAGCAAUUAAAAGUCACAUAUCAUUGGAGACUUCCACGUAUGAAUUUUUGAUGACAUUGUUUUUUUUCUUUUUGUAUGAAUUAAGUAGGCAAUCAUGGAAGAAAUCUAGGAACAAGAAAUUAAAUUUUUACCCUUGUGGAGACACUAAAAUUUAUAAGCUGCACCUGCUGUCAUGCCUGAUAGAUCUCAGCGUGGAUUUUUAACUUAUUGUGAUUGAAAUAUUAAUUUCUUAUUAAUAUGUUUUUAGGAACAACAAAGUUGAAAGAAUUACACGGGACAGCUUGUAUUAGUGCAUUAUCUGGGACAUGGGGAGAUGAUCCUAAUGGAGAAGUAUAUCAUGUGUAUAAAAUGAACUUCCCUUGCAACAUCGAGGAAGUGAAAUAUUCCAGUUUUAUCCUUUUGCUUCAAUCAGAACUAGAUUACGAUGUGGGAAAUGUGGAAGUGGAGCUCUUCUUAGUUUCCAAGUUUGUCAAAUCUUCUGUGACGCAUUGUGGGAAAGUACAUUUGGAUGCCCAACAGGUUGAAACCGAGUGAAACUAUUUUUAAGUAUUUUUAUAAUUCACUUAUGUUAGCAUUUGCAUUUCAUAUCUGAUAAGCAGUAAAACAUUCAGGUUGCUAAAGCAAAAACAUUCCAAGAACUAUUCUUUAAUGGGUUGUUUGGUAAAUUAUUUAUUAAAUCAUUGGAUGGAAGGAAAUUUCUGCUUGAUACAAAAGAAUCUUUGUGGAAGCCAUCCAACAUGUACUUGCUUCUACCGCUGGAUCCUGUAGAUUCAAGUUGUGAACCCUACAGAGUUGAUUGGGGAGGAAUUGAAUCUUCCGUUUCAGUUGUGGAAUUUUUGAAAAAUAAUGCAUGGUUAAGCGCUGAGAAAUCUGAAACUAAACGGAAGAACUCCUUAGUUGACAGAACUGCAUCAUUUGUGGGAGAUCUUGAUCAAACAGAUCUGAUUCACUUCGCCAAUAUAUCAAUCUCAAGAAGCAGGCUUAAGGACAUGGUUGUUGUGGCCAUUCAUACUGGAAGAAUAUAUUCUGUUCUGGAAGCUGUUGCCAAUACUUCCUCAGAGAGCCCCUUUGAAGUAGAUUCGGAAGCUACUGUAUCGCCCUUUUCAUCAUUUGCUGACUACUUCCAUAAACAGUGGGAAUUUUUACCCAAGUUACUGUUUCUUAUUUAAUGCUUGAAAGUCCAGCAUAAGUUAAAUUUGUUAUGUUUUCUCUGUUGAUUAGGUAUGGGAUUGUUUUAGUGUAUCCUGGACAGCCUAUGCUGCUACUGAAGCAAAGCCAUAACGCAUACAAUCUUCUUGUGGAUUUUAAAAAGGAAGGUUUGUCAAGUUAUUGCCGAUUUUUAAUUAUUCCAAGUGUUACCCUAUAUACCAUCUCUUUUGGAAAUUUAUAACAUUUUUAGAAGUUUAAGACUCACUAGCAUGUGUUAAAGUUGCUAACCUUCAGGUGGUUUUGUUAUUGUAAACGACGAAAGGAAGUAGCAAACAAAAUUAUAGUAUAUUAGCUUUAAUGUGCCACAAAGGUUGGUGUACGAUCUGUGUACAUCUUACCAUCCUUAGACCUCAGUUGUGGGAUUAUAGGGGGUUUGUUGUUGUUGCAUCUAAGUAGUAAGCGCACCCCAAGAUGAAUUCUCUCGUAUUCCAACUUCCCCAGAGCUUCCGGUAGCACAACCUUUGUGCCAUUUAAGUUUUUUUACGUGUUACUAUUGUUAGUUCUUAAAAUAUGUUCUCUACAUAUCCGCAUUUAAAAUGGAGUGAUUCAUAUCUUUACCCCUAAUUAGGUUCUAAACAAGUUUGUGAUAGGUCAGUGAGUAUGGAAUUGGUCGACAAAAUUGUUCUACAUAUAUCCAGUGUACUAAUACUUGUGUCAACUCUUUUGGAAGAAAAAACGUUGUUUGGCAAGUGUAUAGUGCCUUUAGGCAUAAGUAGGUGUGAUAGCAAGUUGCUGAUUGUCCCAAUGAGAGGAUCAUAGGAUGGUCUUUGGAGCACAUUAAACUCCACUCACACGUUAUCUGCAAAUAGGCUAAUUGAUUUCAACAACUGCAAAAAGACAUUAGGAUGCAUCCUAAUAAAUUCGAAGAUGAAGAGAAUAGAGUUUGGGAAUUAGUGUCUUGAUUAUUCCCUCAAGGUAGUGGGAUUAAAUAGUGUCACAGAGAAUGCAAUAAGGAAGGAAACUAAUGCGAAUAUUACACAAUAUUCGAUGUGCCUAAUUAUGGGGAUUUGGGAUAUUCCCAUAUCUACGUUAUCUAAUUAUUGAGAUAUUCUCAUAUCUACAUUAUCUCACAAUAAUAUCAUAUUUAAAAUGCCCCCUCAAGAUGGAGCUUAUAAGUCAUAUGCUCCUAGCUUGCCACAAGUAUAGUCAAUUCUAGAUCUUCAGAAUGAUUGUGUUAUAUCUGCCGGUUGAUCUUUCGAGUUGACAAAACUUGUAGAGCUAUAUCCAAACACAAUCUUCUCUCGAAUGAAGUGACAAUCUAUCUCAAUGUGCUUCGUUUUUUCAUGAAACACGACAUUAGAAGCGAUAUGUAGUACAACUUGGUUAUCAGAAAUCAAUUUCAUCAGUUCAACUCCUCCCAUCUUCAAUUCUUGGAGAAGGUUGCCUCAACCAUAAAAGCUCACAUGUAGCCAAUGGCAUAGUUCGGUACUCCGCCUCUGCGCUUGAUCUAGCCAUGACAUCUUGCUUUUUACUUUUCCAAGAUAUUAGAUUACCUCCGAUUUAAACACAAUAACUUAAAGUGGAUCUCAUAUUAGAAGGAGUCCCAGCCCAAUCUGUAUCAGAAUAGCCAACAACAAUAUGGGUGUGUCCCUUGUCUUCAUACAAUUAACCUUGUCCUAGAAAGCUUUUGAUAUAUCUCAGAAUGCAAAUCACCGCAUUCCAGUGACUAUCACAAGGUGAUUGUAGAAAUUGCUAACUACACUAACAACAAAUGAGAUGUCUGGUUGUGUGAUCGUAAGGUAGUUGAGUUUGCCAACAAGUCUCCGAUAUCUACUAGGAUCUUUUAGAGGCUCCCCCUAUCUUGGAAUAAGCUUAGCAUUUGAAUCCAUGGGAGAGUCCACAUGUUUGCAAUCCAACGUACCAUUGUUUUCCAAAAUGUCUAAGGUAUAUUUUCUUUGUGUAAUAGCAAUACUAUUGCUAGACUGUGCCACUUCAAUGCCUAGAAAGUAUUUCAGCUUGCACAAAUCCUUAGUCUGAAAGUGACUUGGUUGUUUGAGUCGAAAAAUACUCACUUGUGAUAACAAUAUCAUCAACAUAAACAAUUAAAAAGAUACGUUUUCCAUGAGAUGAAUGCCUAUAAAAUAUGAAAUGAUCAACUUUUAUUCGUAUCAUUCAAAACUCUUGAACAACUCGAAACGACCAAGCCAUGCUCUAGGAGAUUGCUUGAGACCAUAAAGGGAUCGGUGAAGUCUACAUACUAGUCCAGACUCCCCCCGAGCAACAAAUCCUGAUGGUUGCUUCAUAUAAACCUCCUCAGCAAGUUCUCUGUGUAGGAAUGCAUUUUUAUUGUUGAGCCGAAAAAAGGUCAAUGUUUCAUUAUUGCCAUAGAUACGAGAAGUCGAAUAGAAGGCGACAACUGGUAAGAAAGUAUUUCCAUAGUCAAUGCCAUAAAUCUGAGUGUAUCCUUUAGCAACCGGUCUCGUUUUGAGAUGAUUAAUAGCUCCAUCUGAACCUACCUUAUAUGUGAAUAUCCAACAACAACCAAUAGAGGUUUUGCCUUUCGGUAAAAAAAAAAACAAGAUCCCAAGUACCAUUGUCAUGCAAAACAAUCAUUUCUUCAAUCAUAGCCUUACGCCAACCUGGACAAACCAAUGCUUAUGCCAUAACUUUUAGGAACUUUGAUAGUGGAUAAGUUAGUAAUGAAGGCAUGAUAUGAAUGUGACAAACGGCGAUAACUUAAAUAGGUGUAAAUGAGAUCUUGAUUGGAUGUAGUUCUAAGUAUAACUUAAAUAAGUGUAAAUGAGAGCUUGAUUGGAGGUAGUUCUAAGUACCUUUGCAAAGAGCAAUGGGAAGAUCAUCUAAUGUGUGCUUGGCCGGAGCAGAAGACAUUGUUAUAGCAGGUAAUGAAUCACCAAGAGUGCUUUGUGUACCUGUAUCAGAGUUAGAAAUAGUAACUGAAUUAGCAGUCUCGGAAGGAGGCUGAGGUCGUCAGAAAUAGACCUUAAGAGAAAAAGGUGAAGCUAGGAGUGGAAUAGUUGGAAUUGGAAGGACUGUUGAUAUGGUGUUUUGAUUUUUGGUAUUAGAAGAAAAAUAUGGAGAAGGCUCGAAAAAGGUAACAUCUGCUGAGAUCAAGUACUUAUUAGUAGAGGGGUCAAAGCAUUUGUAAUCUUUUUGUUGAGAGAAUACCCAAGAAAGACAUUUAAAAGUCUUGUGCUGAAGUUUAUCUUUUCGAGGAGUAGGAGUAAGAGGUUAUGAACAAAACAGGUGCAACCAAACACACUUAGAGGAAGGGGAAACAAAUUCUAGCCCGGAUAGAGGAUUGAGUGUGGAAUCUUGUACUGCAAAAUAGAAGAAGGCAUACGAUUGAUUAAAUAAUAGGCAAUAAUAACGACAUCACCCUAAAAACGUAAAGGCACAUGAUUGUGAAUGAGCAAUGUUCGAGCUGUUUCAAUUAGAUGUUUGUUCUUUCGCUCAUCAACUCCAUUUUGUUGAUGAGUAUGUGAACAAGAAGACGAGUGCAAUAUGCCAUGAGAAGACAUAAAAGAAGAGAAAGAGGUGGAGAAAUGUUUCCGGGUAUUAAUUAACUUCUUACUGGAAGUACCAAAUUGACUGUAAAUUUCAACCCAAAAUUUCUGUUAGAGAAUAAAUCAGAUCUAUUUUUCAUUAAGAAUAACCACGUGCAACGAGAAUAGUCAUCAAUGAAAGACAUAAAAUAACGAAAACCUAAGGAAGUACUGACAUGACUUGGACCCGACCCCAUAUGUCUGAAUGAACAAUUUCAAACAUAGAAGUGGCCCUAUUAUUGACGCGUUUUAGGAAAAAGGAACGAGUGUGUUUCCUAAGAUGACACGACUCACAGUCUAACAAAGAUAAACUAGGUAACCUGGGAACUAUCUUCUAUAGUUUCAAGAGACUUAGAUGACCUUGUUGAUUAUGGAGCAACUUUGAGGAAGUAGUGGAGGUGAAAGCAACAUGUGGUUGUGGGGUGGAUAGCAGGUACAAUCCCUGUGACUCAUGUCCUUUUCCAAUUAUCUGUCUCGUAUUAUGGUCCUGCACAAGAACAAUAUCAUCAAGGAAUGUUACAUCACAUUUCUUGUUUUUGGUUAAUUUGCUAAUGGAAAUAAGAUUAUAUGGACAUUUAGGUGCAAAAAAAACUGAUUUUAAAGGCAUGCAAGGCAGAGGGUGAGCUACACCUAUCCUUUUUACAACAGUCUUUGAUCAAUUAGCCAAAGUCACAAUAGAGAGAAUAGAUUGGGUAGAAAGAGAAGAGAGAGUAUUUUUGUUACCAAUAAUAUGGUCAGAAGCACCAGAAUCAAGAAUCCAUUGUUCCUGUGAUAACUGUGUGACAUAAGCAAAUGAGUUAUCAAGUUGCAUUGUGCAAGCAGCUGAAGCUGAUGACUGUUGCCUUGAUGCUUUGUACUAUAGGUAGUCAAUAUUGUUUGUUGCAGUUAAAGUGAUAGAUAUAGAUGAUCUAUCCCUGAAAUUAGGCGUGGGCAAAGUACCAUCUCCAUUAUGUGCCACAUUUGUUGUGUAUCUAGGGUGGUUAUUAUCAUGUGGAGGCAUGAUUUAUCACCAGAAAGAUCUUUUUUUUCGGGGUAAAAAAAGGGAGGAAAAUUCGAGAAAGGAGGGCUCUGAUACGAUGAGAAAUUAGAAGGAGAAGAGAAGAGAGUUUGAAAUUAGUAUCUUGAUUAUUCCCUCAAGGUAGUGGGAUUAAAUAGCGUCACAGAGAGUGCAAAUAAGGAAGGAAACUAAUACAAAUAUUACAUAAUAUUCUAAGUGCCUAAUUAUGAGGAUUUUGCGAUAUUAUCUAAUUAUUGAGAUAUUCUCAUAUCAACAUUAUCUCAUAAUGAUAUCAUAUUUAACAUAUCCUUAUAUUCUUUUACCCUUGUCAUAAGUAAGGCUUUAAUUAUUUGAAUUAAAAUAGUUCUUGUAGUAUAUCCAACUGAAUUUACUUUAGGCAGCUGUGGUGUUUGUACUGAAAAGUCCUGCGUGAUUAGUAAUAUGUAAAUAUCUGCUACAAAACUUGUUGUGGAAACAUCUCUAUGGUCAUAUAUUUUACAUUUUAAACUGGGAGUGAAAGUUGACCACGUGAAGAUAACCUUUCAAGUUCAACUUGAUAAAGUUCUACCUGAGUUCUCUAGAAAGAAUAGAUCUACAUUGAACUUGGCGCUGUUACCUAGUAGGUGCACUGGGCUUAUUGUUUGGAGAUUAUUUAAGCAGGCAUUUCUUGUGGUCCGAAGUCAAAAGAUAGUACAAUGGUCGUUCAAAAGCCACAGAAUAAUGUUCACAUGCCACCAGAACUUCUGGUCUGUAUUGACAUUCGGAUAGACAUCUUGAAAUCCUUCUACUUGCUACCUUCAUUAAUGCACCGCCUGGAGUCCCUGAUGUUGGCUAGCCAGUUGAGGAAAGAGAUAAGUCAUUCAGGCGACUUACAUAUAUCAAGCUCAUUGGUUUGUCCUAUCAUUUGCUCAGCUAAAUUUGAUGACUUACAUUUGACUUUUAUCUAACUAAAUUCUUUCAUGGUCAGAUUCUGGAAGCUCUUACAACUCUAAGAUGCAACGAGAGUUUCUCCAUGGAACGUCUGGAGUUGCUUGGAGACUCAGUUCUGAAGUAUGCUGUUAGUUGUCACCUCUUUCUUAAAUAUCCCAAGAAGCAUGAAGGGCAGCUAACUGGUCAGCGUUCACAGGCUAUUACUAACUCAGCCCUCCAUAAAUUGGGAACUAAUCAACAUUUGCAGGUAUGUAAAGCUUUUUCUCCGUACUUCAGGAAAAAGAGGAACUGCUUGAAGACCAUUUCUUGAAUCCAGUCAAGAAUGUGAAUAUAUAAUAUCUUAACCAGUUCAUAUUUAAAUUUAUUCUUAAAAGUAAAAAUGAAACUAGUUGUCGUAUAUUUCCUUCUCCAGCUAAAAUGGUCACAGCAGUAUGGUGUGAGGAUCAGAUAUUGAUGUGGGAAAUGAGAAUGACAGUGUGUGGUAGUGCAAACAAACUUACUGAAAAUCAGGUUUGUUUGAGAUGGGUAGUUUUCUCUUUUGGUGGUGGGGGUAUAACUUUUUUUAUUUGGUUCAGUUUGUCCAAAUUCCAUGUGGAUGAAUGGCGACGUUUCAUUCUUCCGGUCGAGUAUAGUCUUCAAUGGCAACAUAUUUUGUUUGCAUUUGUGGAAUCCUUCUUGUUGUGUUAUUCGCCAAAGAAAUGUGGAUAUUCUAUCCUUGCCACCUGCCUGAAGCUUCGCUUUUAUACUCUUCUGCUUUUAAUCAUGCUUUACAUGUCUAAUCGCAGGGUUAUAUAAGGGAUGGCGCAUUUGAUCCACGCCGAUGGACUGCUCCUGUACAGCUUUCCCUACGACUUUUCACUUGUGAACAUGGGGUUGAAACUUCAGAAGUGCCUUUGGACGAGAAAUUUCAAACCGAAGACAAAGUAGUGGUCGGGAAGCACUGUGAUAGAGGACAUAGAUGGAUGGGUUCAAAAACAAUAUCUGACUGUGUUGAAGCGCUGAUAGGUGCAUAUUAUGUUGGUGGCGGUUUAGUUGCUGCCCUCAAAUUGAUGAAAUGGCUUGGUGUUAAAGCUGAGCUUGAACCGUCAUUAGUGGAGGAUGCAAUUAGUACUGCAUCUUUGUAUUCUUAUACCCCUAAAGCUAAAGAUAUUGACGACCUUGAGUUGAAGCUGGCCUAUAAAUUUUCUGUUAAGGGAUUGCUACUAGAAGCUAUAACACAUGCUACUGUGCAAGAGCUGGACGUUGGUUACAGUUAUCAGGUUGGUUAAAGAAUAGUCCCUAAUUUUUUAUUUUGUUUGAGAACUGGUAAUGUAAAGAGUAGUCUCUAAUGUGGAUAUAAAUAUCAAUUAAUGCUGAUUAUGCAUCAUUUUUUUUUUUUUGAUCAAGUAUAGUAUUUUCAUUCAUAAACAUGGCCAACUGGCCGUAUACAAAAUGUAGAGAAUUUGCAAAAUGCUAUGAAUCUCUACAAAUUCCACCCAAUCAUCCAUAACAUAGGGGACUUUCUGUGUAAACCAAAAGAAAAUAAGGGACCAUAGACUACUUCUCUACUGAGAGAAACUUGACUCUACCCCUUCAAAAGCUCUCCUAUUUCUUUCUCUCCACACAACCACAGUAAUGCUAGUGGACCAUGUUCCAAGCCCUUUCGUCGUCUUCUCCUUCUCCAACUCUUCCAGCUGAACAUCAAAUCUUUCACAGUUUUUUGGCAUUACCAAUGGAGUACCAAACCACCUAAAUAUAUCCCCCCAUAGUCUUAUGGUAAGCCUGCAAUGUAGAAGGAGAUGAUCCACAUGCUCACCCGCCUCUUUACAAUGCAGCACCAGCUGUGCAUUAUACUUCAUAUUAGUCAUGUUUCUCUUAAGAUAUGCAUUGUUGUCAGCUUAGACUCUUAUUUUUUGUCAAAUCUGUGACAGAGGCUUGAAUUUCUUGGCGACGCAGUACUGGACAUUCUCAUUACCUGGUACCUUUACCAGAAGCAUAAGGAUAUUGAUCCUGGGGAACUGACAGAUCUGCGUUCUGCUUCUGUCAAUAAUGAUAAUUUCGCUUAUGCUGCUGUGAGAAGUGAUCUUCAUGUCCACCUUCAACAUCGUUCUGGAUAUCUUGAAAGUGAAAUAUCAUUGUUCGUGAAGUCAGUCUCUAAUUCUUGUUCACUCCAAGGAAACAAAGCCCCAAAGGUUCUAUUACUGAUGCUCCACUUACAUGUCACUGUAACCAUAUGUUAUUGAUCUCAGUUCCAACUAUAGUCUUGAAUGUCUCCUAGGAUAUAACAUUGCUGAGCAUAUGCCACAUUAAUCCACCUAUAAUCUGUCAAAUAUUUAGAGCAGGCUGGUUGUAUUCAUGGGAUAAUAAUUUGUCAUAGGUACUUGGAGACUUGGUAGAGAGUAUUGCUGGAGCAGUACUUAUUGAUACUAAGCUUAACCUGGAUGAAGUUUGGAAGAUCUUCAAGCCACUAUUGUCUCCCAUCGUGACUCCUGAUAAGCUUGAACUACCUCCAUUGCGUGAGCUCAUAGAAUUAUGUGACUCACUUGGCUACUUUUUGAAAGACCAUUGCGUGGUGAAGGGGGAUUCAGUGAAUGCAGAGCUUAGGUUACAGCUGAAAGAUGAACUGCUGGUCGCUGAGGGAUCUGGACAAACUAGAAAGAAUGCAAAGGCACAAGCAGCUCUGAAGUUACUGAAGGACUUAGAGGUAUGUCUUACCAGGAAGAUGAUUCUCAUCCAAUGUUUGGUCCUUUUUUCUGCCAUUAGAUGAGCCAUAAUUUGUGUGAUGGGAACGUCCUUAGGUAAUAUGGAAAAGAAUGAUGAGAAGAAAGAAAAUCAUGGCGGGUAUUGUUGUACUUAUGUUCGUGAAAGUUACCAUUGCAACUGCUGAUGUUGUAAUGUUAAACUUUCUUGUCAGCCGCGCUUCAUUUUUGUUUUUUCAUUUUGUUUCUGAAACUGAUUCAUCUUUUCUGGGUUCAAGUGUAGACUAAUGAGUUGGUUGCUUUCCAAGUCGUGUGAUGUCUAUCAAAGUACUAUAACUAGAAAGAGAGUGCGGAAAUAACUAGGCGUUUAUUUUUUUUAAUCAGAAUUAGCUUUUGUAUGCCAUUUCGAAUUUGAAAAGAGAACUUUAUGAUAUUAAUGAAAUCUCUGAAGAUGCCGACAAAUUUGUUAUAAUAUAUUAUGUGCUAGCAUGCAUAUACAGUAUCUAAAGGUCAGUGACUAGCUCAUCAUAGAUCUGUAUUACAUGGUGUAAUAAGUUGGAACAAAAACCAUACUUGAUAAGACGACUUUAUUCUCUGCAUUUUCCAUUACAAUUAAUGUUGAACUAGAUGGUAAGUUCCAUCUAGAAUUGACCAAGUGAAUUCUUCAAUUAUGUAUUGCCGGACAUCCAAGCUUUGGAUAGAGUUAUUUCUCACAUUGUUUGACCCUUGUAUUCUAACAACAGAAAAAAGGAAUUUCAUCCAAGAAGAGAAACGAAGAGACCAGCCUUGUUGAUGUGCCACAAUCUUUAGGCUUUGAUGGUGACAUCUGCAGCCAGGCAAAUACUACUUGUCCUGAUAUGGAUACAUGCAAAAAGCAAAAGAAAAUAUGUUUGAAUUUAAAGACGGAAAAAGCUCAAUCUGUUCAGAGUGACUGCUUCACCAGUGCUUGUCAUUCAAAUCAGGACAUCCAAGGUAUGCGCUUGAAAUUACUGUAGCAAAAGGAAAAUUCUUAUUUCUUCAAUGAAAUAUUGAAUCACCCCAGCCUUAAGAAGCUUUUCAGGAUACCUUUUAAUAAAAAUUAACUUAUCAAGAAAUGGCCAUCCACUACUAGCACCAACAUACCCGCCCAACUUUUAUCACAUUAUUUGAUUUUCUAGGGUUUAUCUGUUUAGGAUGUAGCAUACAAGUAUCUGGAGCUCAAUCAAAAUAAAUAUUAUUCGUAUCUAAUGUUUACUUAGAUAUAUAUACUUCUAUAUAUGUAUGACUUUGUUUGACUCGGCAAGAUUAAAGGGAAAUUGCAUACAUUUUUAACUGGAGCAAGAUAGAGAAGUUUCUCAGGUACACAGGAAAAUUUUAAUAACGUAGUUAGUUGAAAGUAUAUCUCAUUAAGAUUGAAUAACUGAAGUACACUUAGUUUCUUCUCUUUGAGGAGAAGGGGCCAAACAUUUUGGCUAAGUACAUUUUAUAAUUUUAUUCUAUAGUUACUGUUAGAAUAUGUGUAGAAAUAGGAAUAGUAUAUACAAAAUCCUACUUGAAAAAGGAUUGUACUAUAGUGUCGAUAAAUAGGGUCUUGAUGUAAUUAUGUCAACACAUCAUUCAAUAAUAUUUUUCAAUUCUCACAUGGUAUCAGAGCGUUGUGAGAAACCUCAGUCACGCCAAUUCCGGUGACUGAUUUGCAUCAUAUUUAAUUUUGUGGGUUGUGUGAACAAUACAAUACCACCAAUAGGAUCGGAACGAUCAGGCGAUAAAAACCCAACCAAAAUCACCGGAAAAGAACCAUCCAUGCGCCCCCAUGCGCCAGUCGAAAUCCCGAAAUUCCGGCGAGAUCUACUUCACGCGCCGGCGCGUGAGCACGUCUCCGGUUCAAUUUUUCAAUUUUUCUUUUUUUUCUGUUGGGGUCGCCGGUCUAUUCCGACUCCAACCACAUACUCUUUUCCAGAUUUCGUCAAGUAUUUGGAGAUUCCGAUCGUCGGAACUUAAAAUACGGCAACUUCAUAAUUUUGGUAACUGUUUUCCGUUUCCAGCAACUGGUUUUUGGGAGUUGUAAAGUCAAAUUACCAAGAUGUUUUUUGGGCAUGAUAUUUUUGGCUCUAAAAAUAUACGAAUUGGAAGUUCAAGUCCUAUGAUCACUUCCGAACCUUUAAUGGAAAGUUCAAAUUAUUUAGCCUGGGCUUCCUCGGUUGAGUUGUGGUGCGAAGGUCAAGGUGUCCAAGAUCAUUUAACGAGCAAGGCUAGUGUGGUAGAUGAAAAGGGAAAGUCUAGCAUGGAAGAUGCGAAAGCUAAAGAGCAAUGGGAGAAAGUUGACGCUCAACUAUGUAGUCUCUUACAACAAUCUAUUGAUUCCAAGUUGAUGCUCUUGUUUCGUCCAUUCCAGACGUGUUAUUUGGUUUGGAAAAAGGCGCGUGCUUUAUACACUAAUGAUAUAUCUCGUUUUUAUGAUGUGAUAGCUCGAAUGACCAACUUGAAGAAACAGGAAUCCGAUAUGUCUACUUACUUGGGACAAGUACAAGCAGUCAUGGAAGAAUUUGAUACAUUGAUGCCCGUCAUUGCGGAUGUAAAAAACAACAAGAGCACAGGUAGAUGUUGUUUUUAGUUCUUACACUUGGUGGACUUUCUAUUGAUCAUGAUGUUGUACGUGAUCAGAUUUUAGCUAGUCCUACGGUUCCUACAAUUGAUGAGUUAUUCUCUCGUUCGUCUUGCCGCGCCUCCCAGUCUCAAAGUAGUUUCAUCACCCACUGUUGACUCUUCUAUUCUUGCAUCUCAAACCAUAGAAAAACGAACAUAUUAGCCUAUGGAAAAUCGGCGAGGAGGAGAUCGUUUUGGAAAAUCUCGAUCGAAGUGUAGUUAUUGUCAUAAAGUUGGACACACUCAGGAUAUAUGUCAUAGUUUGCAUGGUCCACCACCCAGUUAUGAUCCUGCUGCUGUAAAGGAAUAAAUGAGUUCCUUCGGAAUCGAGCAAGUAAGCCGACAUCUCCACAGCCUAAUCGACCAUCCAAUAAUGCUCAUAUUGCCCAAACAGAAUAUAAUGAGUUCCUCCAGUAUAGACCAAGUAAGAAGACAUCUCCACAAGUAGCCUCAGUUGCCCAGCCUGAUGCUUCUGUUGCUGGUAAUCCUUUUGCUUGUGUUUCACAGUCUAGUACUCUUUGAUCAUGGGUUGUAGACUCAGGUGCUUCUGAUCUUAUUUCUAGUAACGAAUCUCUUUUGUUUGAUAUUUUUUAUUCACAAUCUCUUCCUGCUAUUACUUUAGCCAAUGGGAUCCGAACAAAACCAAAAGGAAUUGGACAAGCCAAACCCCUAUCUUCUGUCACUCUAGACUCUGUUCUUUAUGUCCCUGGUUGUCCUUUUAAUCUUGCAUCUGUUAGUCGUUUGACACGUGCCCUUAAUUGUAGCAUAACUUUUCUUGAUGACUCUUUUCUAAUGCAGGACCACAGUACGGGACAGACGAUUGGCGCAGGACAUGAAUCACAAAACCUUUACCAUCUCACCUCUUCAAAUUCCUUCACAGCAUGCUCCGUUACAGACCCUCCAGCCCUAAUUCACAAACGUUUAGGACAUCCGAGUCUAUCCAAGCUACAAAAGAUGGUGCCUAGUUUGUCUAGUUUAUCCACAUUAGAUUGCGAGUCAUGUCAACUUGGGAAACACACCCAUGCUACUUUCCCACGUAGUGUUAAGAGUCAUUCAAAGUCUAUUUUCUCAUUAGUACAUUCUGAUGUUUGGGGUUCUAGUAUAGUCAGUUCACCUUUAGGUUUUCAUUAUUUUGUUAGUUUCAUUGAUGAUUUUUCAAGAUGUACUUGGGUUUUCUUAAUAAAAGAUCGUUCUGAGAUAUUUUCUAUAUUCAAAAGUUUUUGUACUGAAAAACAAACUCAAUUUGGUGUUUGUAUUCGUACUUUUCGUGGUGACAAUGCCUUAGAAUACGUACCCUCUGAGUUUCAGGAGUUUAUGACUCAUCAAGGAAUUGUUCACCAGACAUCUUGUCCGUACACCCCACAACAGAAUGGUAUAGCAGAAAGAAAAAAUAGACAUCUUCUUGAGACUGCUCGCACUCUUCUCAUUGAAUUCCAUGUUCCGCUGCAAUUUUGGGGUGAUGCAGUCCUCACGUCUUGUUAUCUAAUUAAUAAAAUGCCAUUAUCUUCCCUUCAGAAUAAGGUUCCCUAUUCUAUAUUGUUUCCACUGUCACAUCUCUACUCUAUCCCCCCUCGUGUCUUUGGGAGCACAUGUUUUGUUCAUAACUUAGCCCCUGGAAAAGAUAAAUUAGCCCCUUGUGCUCUCAAGUGUCUCUUCCUUGGUUACUCUCGAGUUCAAUAGGGGUAUCGUUGUUAUUCACCAGAUCUUCGUCGCUACUUUAUGUCCACCGAUGUCACUUUUUUUGAAUCUCGACCUUACUAUAUAUCUUCUAAUCGUCUUGAUAUCUCUGAGAUUUUACCCGUAUCUCCGGUCUUACCCGCACCAUCCUUGGUCUUACCCAUAUCUCCAGACUUACCCGAACUAACCUUUAAGGAAUCAACGGUUACUUCUACGUCCCCUACUACAGUGCCACCACUUCUGACUUAUCAUCGUCGUUCGCGUCCACCUUUAGUCCCAGAUGAUUCAUGUCAUGCAUCGGGUGCUGCUCCUACUGCGGACUUGCUUUCUUCUAGCCAAUCAGUUGCACUUCAAAAAGGUAUGCGUUCCACUCGUAAUGCUAACCCACACUAUACUUUCUUGACUUAUCAUCGUUUAUCAUCACCCCAUUAUGCUUUUGUAUCGUCUUUGUCAUCUAUUUCCAUACCUAAGACUAUCGGUGAAGCACUCUCUCAUUUAGGAUGAAAGCAGGCUAUAUGAUAGAUGAGAUGUCUGCUUUACAUGUAAGUGGUACUUGGGAGCUUGUUCCCCUUCCUGUAGGUAAAUCUAUUGUUGGUUGCCGUUGGGUUUAUGCAGUCAAAGUUGGUCCAGAUGGUCAGGUUGAUCGGCUUAAGGCUUGCCUUGUUACCAAAGGAUACACACAAAUAUUUGGGCUUGAUUAUAGUGACACUUUUUCUCCAGUGGCUAAAAUAGCAUCUGUCUUUCUUUUUCUAUCCAUUCCUGUCGUUCGUCAUUGGCCUCUUUAUCAGUUGAAUAUUAAGAAUGUUUUUUGCAUGGUGAUCUUGAGAAAGAAGUCUAUAUGGAGCAACCACCUGAUUUUGUUGCUUAGGGGGAGUCUAGUAGCCUUGUAUGUCGAUUGCGCAGGUCACUCUAUGGUCUGAAACAGUCUCCUCGAGCUUAGUUUGGAAAAUUCAACACAGUAAUUCAGCAGUUUGGCAUGAUUCUAGUGGAGCUGAUCACCUAGUGUUUUAUCGACAUUCUCAACCAAAUUUGUGUAUUUAUCUGGUGGUUUAUGUUGAUAUUGUUAUUACCGGCAAUGAUGAAGAUGGUAUCUCUAAAUUGAAGCAACAUCUCUUUCAGCAUUUUCAGACCAAAGACCUCGGCAGACUGAAAUAUUUUCUAGGUAUUGAGGUUGCUCAGUCCAGAUCAGGUGUUGUUAUUUUUCAACGCUAGUAUGCCUUAGACAUUCUUGAGGAGACGGGAAUGAUGGGAUGUAGACCCAUUGACACUCCUAUGGAUCCAAAUGCCAAACUUCUACUAGGACAGGGGGAGCCACUCAGUGAUCUUGAAAGGUAUAGGCGGUUGGUUGGAAAGUUGAAUUAUCUCACCGUGACUAAACCUGACAUAUCCUUUCCUGUGAGUGUUGUACGUCAGUUUAUGACCUUUCCCUGUGAUAGUCAUUAGUCAUUGGGAUGCAGUUGUUUGUAUUCUGCGAUAUAUAAAGUCAGCUCCAGGUAAAGGACUACUCUUUGAGGAUCGAGAUCACGAGCAUAUCAUUGGAUACACAGAUGCUGAUUGGGCAUGAUCACCCUCUGAUAGACGUUCUACCUCCGGAUAUUGUGUUUUAGUAGGAGGUAAUGUGGUGUCUUGGAAGAGUAAGAAACAGAGUAUGGUUGCUCGAUCUAGUGCAGAAGCAGAAUAUCUAGCAAUGGUUGUAGCAACUUGUGAGCUAGUUUGGAUCAAACAGUUGCUGAGAGAAUUAAAAGUUGGAGAAACCGGUAAGAUGGAACUUGUGUGUAAUAAUCAAGCAGCCCUUCAUAUCGCAUCAAAUCCAGUGUUUCAUGAGAGGACUAAACACAUAGAAAUUAAUUGUCACUUUAUCAGAGAAAAAAUACUCUUAGGAGAUAUUUUUACAAAAUUUGUUAAUUCAAAUGAUCAACUUGCAGAUAUCUUCACCAAGUCCCUCACCGGUCCUCGUAUUAAUAACAUUUGUAACAAGCUCGGUACAUAUGAUUUGUAUGCACCGGCUUGAGGGGGAGUGUUAGAAUAUGUGUAGAAAUAGGAAGAGUAUAUACAAAAUCCUACUUGGAAAAGGAUUGUACUAUAGUGUCUAUAAAUAGGGUCUUGAUGUAAUUAUGUGAACACAUCAUUCAAUAAUAUUUUUCAAUUCUCACAGUUACACAUAUUAUUCCUUCCCCGAACCCUGCUAAUGCAGGAUGCUUUGUGCAUCGGGCUGCUCUUAUUUCUUUUUUUUUUUGUUACACUAUUAUCUCGUUUGGUGGAGUACCAUGGUCCCUCUCUAUAAGAAUAAGGGGGACAUUCAGAGUUACAAUAACUAUAGGGGGAUUAAGUUAUUGAGUCACUCUAUGAAGAUCUGGG